GGAGAACUCGUGCAAUACCAUAUUCACCAUCCUCGUUUCUACACAUAUCUCGAGAGGCAAUCCAAGCAUGAAGGUGGAAAUACAGUGGAAGAAGCUGGUCAAGCCAUCAGUGCCCACACCGAGCGACCAGCGAAAAUGGAAGCUAACAUCAAUAGAUGAGCUUCAGAUGCCAAAUUAUGUGGGCGUUAUCUUCUACUAUAGAGAUAAUGCCGGGAACCCCGGAGUUGAUAUCUCUCAAAGGCUUCACCAGAUGGAGGAGUCACUUUCCUAAACUCUAACCCUCUUUUAUCCUAUGGCAGGGAGAUAUAUUGAGGAUGACGACGGUUGUUUUAUCGACUGUAAUGACCUUGGAGUGGAGUUCGUCCAUGCCAAAGUGGAUGGCCAGAUUGAUCAGCUUCUCCAUAGAGACCCCAACAUGGAUUUACUCGAAUAUUUGUCGCAAUUCCCAAACAACCUAGUAGGCAAUCCACUAGUGGUGAUUCAAGUGAAUACGUUCGAGUGCGGCGGAAUAGCAAUUGGCUUGCGCUCUACACACAGGAUCAGCGACAUUUACACCAUGGCCAUAUUCGUUAACUCGUGGGCCACCGCUUGCCGAGGUAAUGUAGAUGUUACAGUCUGUCCAAGUUUCGAGUUGUCAUCUCUAUUCCCAAGGAAAGUGUCGGCUGUUGCGAAUUGGCCUCCGCCACGGAUUAUUGGCAGCAAGGAAUUCACGAUGUGUAGGUUCAGGUUCAGCGGUGAUGCUGUAUCGAAGCUGAGAGCCCUAGCUAGGGAUGAUGCAAAGGAUUCAAUGGCCAACAACUUCCAGCCUUCGAGGGUGGAGGUUGUUUCGGCACUAAUAAGUAAGGCUCUCGUCAAGAUUGAUCGAGGUAGACAGGGCGAAGAAAGGCCUUUCGCAGUUUGUAUGGCGUUUAACUUGCGCGAUAAAGUCAAACUAAACAUACCCGCAAAUUCUUGUGGCAAUUUCUUUAGCGUGAUUUCUGGGCAAUCCGCUCAACCCACGGUCGGCAAAACGAAUCCGGAGUUCAAUGAGAUGGUGAACAUAAUCCACAACAUGAUAUCAGACGCUAAAACGAAAUAUGCAACAAUAGUAAACAAGGAGGAGCUCUGCUCGGCGGUGGGGAAUUCUAUAGCCGAACUUGUCAAAGUCGCGUCCUCAAGUGAAGUGUUUAUGAUUUCUUUUAGUAGCUGGUGCCGUUUCGGGCUAUAUGAGAUCGACUUCGGGUGGGGAAGGCCGGUUCCCGUCAGCAACAUAUCAUUGAAUCUCAGAUCGGUCAUUCUUAUCGACGAUGAAGAGGGCAAAGGAAUUGAUGCAUGGACAACCACCACUGGAGAUGAGAUGAUUCUUCUUAAACAAGAUCCGGAUAUUCUGGCAUUCACUUCCUAGAUGGAGGUGGAGAGGUUGCACGAAUAUUGGAUCUGCGAAGUCAUCGUAUCUUACUAUAAUGUAGACCAAGAAAAUGAAAAUGGACUUGGUCUAUAGUAUUUGUUACAUUUGUUUCGUUUCUUUAAGAAGGAUGGUUCUUGUGGACAAGGUUAAUCAACUUAUUAAAUACCUUAGAGCAAACUCCUCUAUUGUGUUCAAUUUCCUUAGGUUGACCCCCUCAAUCCAUUGUACUAGAGCUAUCUGAGAAGAAUGAUUAGGGUCAUAUUCUAUCAUUUCUACAAUGCCCAUAGGGCAUGCUUGUUGUAAGCUUUAUCAAGACACAUGCGGUUGUAAUUUUUGUCACUGGAUUGAAAGUUUCAUCAUAGUCCAAACCGUACUACUGUGAGAAUUAUUGUGUCACUAGUCAAGCCUCAUCUCUUUCAAUUAUUUAAGGGUUGAUGUAAUGGCAUAGAUGGUACGAUAGUGGGUGAAAGUUCAUUCAUUUAAUGUUUUGAGUGGGUAUAUAUUAUAAAUAAGAGUGGGACCCUCUAAAAUUUUGUGAAUAAAUUGACACUUUAAAAUUACUUUCUCAAAAUGAAUGGUGUAUCAAAACAUCAAUUCAUGAUUCAGAUUAACCUGGAAUACUCAACUUACCAAACUGCCCUUGCCUUUGGUGGAAAAUCAUAUACCUACCAAAAAGUCAGCUUCCUUCUCUUCUUCUUUUUUUUUUUUUUUUCGUUUUUUUUAGAUCAAAAGAAAAUUGUGUUCAUUUCUCAGAAGGACACAUGAGAGGUAAUAAAAUUUAUGACAAAGAAAUUUAAGGAGAGCAAAACCUAGAAAACUACAAAAUAAAGCCAAAUCUAGAAAUGAGGAGGAUUAAGAGAGCACCAAUAAAGUUAAGCACACAAUCGAUGGCGGAUCACUGGAUCUCAUAUCAUUAUAUAUGAUAAUGCACAUUGGAAAUUCAUUCUCCAAUAAUAAUGACGUCACUAGUAAGCAGUACACAUCUAAAUUCGACUUUCUUUACAUCAUCUCCGUACGGAGACAACCAAAACAGGUUGAGCAAACAAACAUACAUCUAACAUGUGGAAGAGCAAACCAUCUGGUUUGGCAAUAUGACCAUUGAAGCUAGAGGACCUAUACUUGAAUAGAGCACAGGGAUAUCGAGUUCCAAAAAUAAUAAUAAUAAUAAUAAUUUGAAGAUAGCUCUUAAAUGUAUAACUAGAUCGGGAGAGCUCAAACUUAGAUCUAGAACAAAAUCAACAAGAGAGUUCAGGGAGGGUGAGAGUAGCUCAAAUCAUUUCUUAUGGCUAAAGGUCGAAGAAGAUGAGCGAAAGAGGAAAGGAAAGGGAGAGAGGGAGAACAAAAGACUUUUCAUCAAUGGCUUUUUAUGCAUUGCCCUCCUUCCAUUCCUUGUCCUUUGCGUCACUUAUCGGCUACUUCGUUGUCUGCGGACCACUCACUUGGAUGUCUUCUACCUUGGAGGUCAUAAAUUUGUGGACAAACGAGGUAGUAAAUCACAAGUCCAAGCUCGAGGUUUGUGACCUCCGUAUUAGAGGUACCCAGCUCCAUACACACAGACACAUACAACGGUCAUAGCCAAGGUCAACCAAAGAUGAUGGCUUCGGCAACUAGAGGAGUGUGGACGAGGACUAGUAGAGGUUGUGGCGGGCUGGCAACGGCACAAUAGGGUCUGCUAUCGUCAGGUAUGCAUUAUUCGAGGUUGCCGGAAUAAUAAGGGAGAGCGAAGAGAAAUAGGAAGAAAAUGUGAACAACGCAAAUAAAAAGACUAGAAGAAAUUUCAACCAUGAAUACUAGGGAUAAACGGUCCUAAGGUGGGCCAGUUCCUAGUUUAUGAAAUCAGGAAUCAGCCCCACCUAAUUUUGGAACUAGAUUGAAUCGGAUCAACCAACUGGUUCAGUUCCCGGGUGAGUCUACGAACUGAUGGCAUGGGAGGAAAGACAACAACCUCGAAGUAAAGUAAUCAAACCACACAAACAAGCGGACAUGUAGAGGGUGUCUUGGUCCUCCAAAGGCUAGAUCUAAGUGAGAGUGUGAAACUCAGAGAGAGCUACGAAAAUCACAUAUAUUAGAUGCAGAUUCACGGUAAUUCUUAGCCUACACUUUGUAUGAAGAAUGACCAAAAGUAGAGCAUUGAUUAUUUACAUUGAUGAGAUUCCGUUACGGUUACGAACGGCCAAAACCAAAGCAAGAGACGAAGAAGAAUGUUAGGACUCGAGAUGAGACUGCGAGAGGGACGCAACUUAGAUGAGAGGGACUAAGGGAGGCAUCUAGUAAAGGGAAGUGACUCAAGUGAGAGGGACGCAUCGAGGAGAGAGGCAUAUGUCACGGGCCGAUCGAUUGGGAUUGUGACCGCGCGACGACUUAGGCUAUUUUGGAUCACCCAAGCCAAGCCUUUCUCGAUCGAAUGCUCACUCGCCCGUAUACCAGGAUCAUAGAGAGAGAAAGUUUAAAGAGAGGGGCUUUGGAAAGAAAAGAGCUUUGUAUUGCUUGAAAGGAUUGGAUGGAUACAAAUGAGGGGGAGACUCCCGUUCUUAUACUCGAGGUCCUCGUAUUACAUCCGUUGAUUGAGAAUUUAACUGGCAGAUGAGAUUGCACCGCCUCAACUACCGACAUAAAUGUCAACUACCGUCUACCGACAUAAAUAACGGAAUAGACUUCUAGAAUAUGACUCAAUGACGGUUUCGCCCGCCCUUGGAAGCUUCGGGGAGAAGCCUUGAUGGGAAUCCGAGUGAGAGCAGGAGGUCUUCCACGGAUGAGACAUGGUCGUCCUCUAGGAACCUCUUGGGUUGACUCUCUUUUAGCCCGUGACACAUGACUGACGAGUGAGAGUAAGGUAGAGGUGUCAGCAACAAGCAUGAUUGAGAGUGACAAUCACAAGCGACAAGCAUGAUUGAGAGUGAAAACUAGACAAGUAGGAUUUUUAGCGUGAAUGAGAUUGAAGAAUGGGCAAUUAAUAAUUAGGGUUUUCAGUUUUGUAAUAAUAAGAAUUAAAAAAAUAUAUAUUGGUCCAGUCCAAGUGGUAUAAAUGAUUCAGUCUACACCUGAAAUUAGCAAUUAGAUUGAUUAUUAUUGGUUUCAGGUUUUAGAAACCAAGAAUUGGAUCGGAUCUAAUGGGAAUUGCCCAAAACACAUCGCAGUCCAAAUCUUUUUCUCACCCUAAUGAAUACUCAAUUCUUGAGGUGUUACUUACUCAUUAGACGGGACAAAAUUUAAGAUGUAAAUUGGGAUCCCUAUCCAUAUUUAUAUAGAUGAAUACCCAAUAAAACCCUCACCCUUCUCGCACUUAGCCCCUUAUCACACACCUCUCUCUCUCUCUAACCUUGUGGCCAUGGUCGCUCUCUGAAAUUGCGUCCAUGGCCACCAUAUAUAAACUAAGUGGCGUUGGCGACAGAAGAAGAGAAAGGAGGGAAGAGGUCGACGGCAACGGCGGACAAAGGUGUGUGCUGGAGGAGACAUGAGAGGUUGUUUGAGUGAUAGAGCUUGAGGAUUCAUGGGGGAGUUUGGGAGCUUGGCGAUUUACAAGGUGGGGGCAAUUUGACCUUUCUAGAGUUUAGUUUUAUCCAGCUGCAGCUGGUUGGUAUUUUCAAAGUAAGUAGAGUUGCCCUUCGAGCAAAAAUAUGAAAUAUGAAACCGGCACAAUUUGUGAAGAUAUACCGGCAAAGGCUAUGGAUUCGAAUGAAAAAACAUAGGAAAAUACGGCAAAGCUGGUUGGUAUUUAAUGAUAAAUGUGUAAUCUAAAGCCACCAGUGUGAGCUUCCAUUAUGGGUUAUAACUAUGACUGAGAGUUUUACUUUGUUAAUAUUUCAUAAUCUUUGUGUGUCUAAAAAUGAAUUGUGAUCAAUAGAUUAUAGCAAAUGAUGAUCAUUAGAAGUGAUGAUUCACUAUAAUUAUUUAAUGAAGAGUAUAAAUAGAACUUGGGUAGAUCUUGGAUCCUAUGACAUUGUAGUUUCCAAGGUCCUGAAUAUGCAUGUAGGUUACAGAUUUCAAAAACAGGAAAUCUGUUCCAAUGGUUUCAGGUAAAAUCUAGACGAAGCCUGAAACCACUCAUCUCUAAUCUUGAAACUGAAGUUGAGCACCAAUACCUAGGUGACAAUACUUUUGUAUCAGUUGCUUGGCGAGAUAAGAGCGCAUUCCAUUGCAUGCUCCAUGGCCGUAGCAGGUAGGAGUCAAGAAAUCAUCCCGCUCAUUCUAAUAAUUGAAGCCGGAGUUCGAUGUAUUAUUGACCAUAUCUUGAAGGAGAUCAGUGACCGCGUCUUUGUACGCUCAGGUUGCACCCGCGUCUUCAUUGCAGAUUUUUUAUACCAAUGUUUCAUCAGGAGCAUCUUUUAUAACGUUAAAUGAGCGAAGCAGUGCAAUUGGUGUAGCUGCAAUUUUGUGGAAUGGAGCCAUGUGUCUCUUACCUCGUUCUCUUGACAAUACUCAUCCUAUAUUGCCCCUCAAACUGAGGGUCGUAUCCAAGGAAAAUAAGCUUCUCGUAGGUUUCUCCACUCUUUAAAAAAAAAAAAUCUGCGAUUUGUUUGGUGAACAAGUUUACUCCUAGAAGUUACCAACAGUCAGGAAUGUAAUAAAUAAUUGAGUUCUUGUUUUAGCAGUAGUUUAGAACCUUUGCCUCAUCAAUUUGGGAAGCCGUCGUCAUCUUAUUUAAGCUCCGUUUAUUUGAUGAAAUAUAUUUUUCUCAGUUUGUAACAUUUGGAUAGUUUAGGAAAAUGAGUUAAUGAAAAAAAAAAUUUCCCUAUUCAAUAGAAAAACUAUGUUUUAAUUUAGGAAAAUGAUUUACCUUAAAAAAAUCAUUUUCCAAAAUAUUAUUAGAAAAUCUAUGUUCAGGAAUAGGAACCCUAAAGCUUGUUCUUGAGCCCUUGGCUGCGGACCUAAGUCUAAACCUGGGGCCGAGUCCACCAAAGUCCAUCAAGGCCAAGCUUGGGACGAAAGACACUAGGUCUGAAACCUUGAUGCUCAAGCCCGAGUUCUAUAGAGGUUAAGUUUGAGAUACCAGCUCUAGUAGUUGAGCCUAGGGAUCCAAUACCAUUGCUUAGCUCCCUAGCACCCCAACUCGAGUCCACGAAGGUCAAGCCCACAAAUACAUUUUGAAUACAAUUGAUUUUUUUCUUCGUUUUUUACCAACAAAGCCGUGGUCAAAAAUAGGAACCCUACAGCUCGAGUCCAUCGAGGUUGGGCCAGGACUUCAAUGCCUGUGCUCGGAUCCUUGAUACCCAUGCUCGAUUCCAUAGACCCGGGCAUGAGACCUUGAAGCUUGUGCCCUAGUCCCCGACACUUGGGUCCAUGGAGACCGAUCACGAGCUUGGGAAUCAAAUACCAAUGCCCAAGUCAGGGUCCAUUGAGGCCCUAGUGCUUGUACUCAAUUUCCCAACUGCCCAUGUGCAAGCCACUAACACCUGAAAGAGAUAUGUCUAUUAACUAAACAAUAGAAAAUAUUUUUCAAUUCAUUUUCAGAUUGCAGCCAAACAUCAGAAAAUUUUUGUCAUUUUUCAGGAAACAUCUUCUAAAAAUGUCAGAUUUUUUUCGUGAAACAAACUUAGUGUUGAUAGUGAGUAUGUUUUCUGCCGUCCUCUUAGCACAUUUUGUUUCGGAUUGUGACUUUUUCUUAAUCAGCCUCUUCCAAAGAUAUACUGGAAUUGUUAGUCAUAUGUCCUUAACAUUUUUCCUUCAUUUUGGGCGAGUGUAUUUACAAGAUGCAUAUUUGCAUGCUAUGUUUCUCCUCGACUUUCCCAUCAUAAGGUUCUUUGCAAAAGCCGCUUAACUCCAACCUCCAUUUUCAUUCAAAAACUCAUUAAUAGUUUACAGCAAAAUACACUUUUGUAUUCCUAUGCUUGAUGGGAAGACUUUUGCACGAGUGACCCAAAUCUUUGCUGGCGAUAACAUCGUUUUACUCCUAUUUUGAUGGGUACAUGUACUUAAAAAAAAAAUUAUAAUCAGCAUAAGAGGUUAGCGGUGACCUCCUGCGUCUUACGCGGUUCCUUACCAACUUAAAAUAGGUUAGGGACAACUCUAUGUUAUUACUAACAAAUAAGAAUUGAGAAUCAGUGUUGUGAUCGGUAAUUGGGAGAGUCCAUGCAAAGAGCAAAGCCACCUCGUGUGAGAGGAUUAUCCGAGCUCGCAUAACAAUCCGAUGAUCUGCUCAAGGUCCUCUUCUGGAGGAUCGUGACACACGCAUAGCAAGUUUGCUCACUCAAACAACUACAAUUGGACCAAUAUGUUUUUCAAAUUCAACAGGGUAAAAAUAACAGGAGCGCCAUAACUUUCGUUAUGAUACUUAAGUGAGUGAUAAUGUGAGCGCUGUAUGAAAUUUAUGACAUUUUUAGUGUACUUACCCUCAAAUCAAACAAAAGUAUCUCCAUUGGAGUGCCUAGCUAGCUGGUACGUAUCAGGGAAAUAUCCUCACCAUCUACAAUGUUAUCCACUCAAAUGUUUAGUUUAGCCAUGGAAUCAGAGCUAAAGACAAAGGCUAGAGAUCCCACAAGAAUAUGACUUGGAUUUGAUUUGUUAGUAUUUGAAGGCGUGUCUAAAUAACUUCGCACUUUUUAUUUUUUGCUUAAUUUAAAUCUCGAGAUAGGACGUACUUCAGCUUUUUCUUGGUUCAUAACUCCCCAAACUUUCACGACAUACCAAUUUUGACACGUGGGAUUUUACAGGAUUUUUUUAAAAUUUAGGUGACAUUUUAUAAUUUGGCCAGAAAACAAAAUUUUAUUUUUAUUUUUGCUGAAGCAUAGACAUAGAUGUCCAGAUUAUUGAGCCGUAACAACUUAGAGGCAGUUUAUUUACUAUUACAUCCUUUAGAUUAUUAUGGAUAAAAUCAAUUAUCUGAAAUGUGAUUAAGAUUUUCUCUAGGUUUUCAACGUUUUUCAACUAUUAAAUUUUGUUUAGUAGAUAAACGUCGUCUUUAGAAAAACUAAAAAGCAAGUUAAAUGAUCUUAUUAUUGUUCAUAGAAAAAAUUAAAAAAGCACGAGUCCAAACGGCACUUUAUUUGUGCACUAUAAAAAUGUCAUUGACAAUAAUGAUAACAGUUGAAGUUGAUUUGCUCAGUACUUAAAAUUCUUUUAUAAUCACUUACAUGUGUCUCUAUCUUGUUCAAACACAUGGUACUAUGUUGUCUUAUCUGGAUUUAUUCACCAAAUGACACAUGAGGCUCAUGGGAAUUCACAUGGACCUCAAAUAAUUGAAAAUUGCAAGAUAGUGCAGUCAUUCACCUAUGCUAUAUUCACAACAUAUUGAUAAAAACCCAUGUCAAUUUACCACAAAUUAUGAUAAGUCCGUAAAUUUUGAUGUAAAUGUGACACGGAUGCGCCGAUUUAGGGUAAAUAUUGCAGGAUGUAGAAGUUUGGGAUUUUUAUAACAUAAAAAUUAAUUUGAGAUAAAUGAAAUAUAAAUGCACUAGUUUGGAUUAAAAUGGUAUGAAUAUACCAGUUUGUGAUUUUUGGGUAAAUAUAGCAUAAAUGUACCAAUUUGAGGUUUUUGACAGCAUUAAUCGUAAUAAUAAUAAGCAUCAGCCGGUGCUAGGCUUUUCUUUAAUGCUACCACCAAAUUUUUUUAAUAGUUUCCAUAUAAAUAUUAUAUAUAUAUUUAUUACAACCCAAAAUGAAGUAAAAAAAAAAGUCAUCGCCAAGUGUAGUGCAAUGUUAGUGCAAAAAAAAAAUCAAAUCUUGUAAUUAAAUUAAUGUGAAAUCAAUAGAGAAAUAAAAAAAUAAACAAUAAAGAACACUGGAGAUUUACUUAAUUCCAUCCAAUUGUCAAUCCAUACUCCACAAGGAGAGUUAUCAGCAAAUAAUUUAGUAAUAAUCGAAAAAUUAAAGUUAUAAUCGGUCAUACACUUGGUGCUUUCCUCGCCUACAUUAAACCUAAAAAUGCGAUAUUUACAAAUAAAUAAAUUAACUAGUUGUGAUGAUCAAAGCACAAGUCAUAGCGCCUGGCUAAAAUCAAGCUCCGAACGCUUGGCCCUAGUUUCGCCCUUUUGCGGCUUUCUCUCUUCCUAAGGGGUCUCUUUUUCUUGUACGGAUCUUUUCCCUACGCUUUUCACGGUCAGAAAUGGGCAACAAUAAAUGAUGAAGAACUAGACCUACUAUUAGCGAAAACAUAGAACCACCGACCAACAAGAAAACAAACCUAAUUCGACUUAAGGGCAUGAUAAAUGAUGAAGAACUAGACCUACUUUUAAUGAAAAUAUAGAACCACCGACCAACAGGAAAACAAACCUAAUUCGACUAAAGGGCAUGAUAAAUGAUGAACUAGACCUACUUUUAGCGAAAACAUAGAACCACCGACCAAUAGGAAAACAAACCUAAUUCGACUAAAGGGUAUCCCAGAUUCUGACAAAUCAAAAUAUUUCAGCUAACUCGGAUCCCAUACAUGAGUCAAACUCAAUACAUAAUUUAAUAAAAUAGAUAUACCAAGAAAGAAUGUUGCUCAUCAAAAUAACUACAAUAAGAAGAGCUCGAUGUGUGAUCAGUCAUGUCUUGGAGAAGAUCAUUGAUGCCUCGACCCCCAUUCUUCUAUAUUAGCCUUCUUUCCCUUUGCUACUCUUUCUUUAUUAUGCUCACAAUACAAGAGCCUUGGAUGCACAUACAAAAGACCUCUAGUUAUAUUGGUUUCCUUUGCUCAUACAAAAAGAAAAUGUCGUUCUCUCCUCGUUAGAUAAAGACGCUGGAGUUUAGUCUUAACCUAAAUCGUGGAAAUAUGUAACUGGUAAAAUAGGUGCUCGAAAGAUCUUGAUUUAUAUGAAAUUUUGUGAUAUCACUUUCGAUUGUUCUAAAAAUUUAACUUAUUAAUGUCGCGACCUAAAUUUCGGGUGUACUACCUAAAACUAGGUUAAUGGAUUACUAAGUUUUUAACUUAGCUUGGGCUCUCCCAAGCCCAUACCAAUUCGCGACUUAAGGUUCAAGUAUUUAACAUGCAAAUGAUUAAUAUCUAGGAGUCGCCACUAAUCAGUUCACAGUAGGUCGAUUAGACACCUAAGUAAAAUAAUGGGAGAUUUAUUUUACUCCUACGAACCAGAGACUAAAGGUACAGAGACUUGGUUACACUAGAUUGCUCUAAUGCCCUUUCGGUACUAUUUCUUUUUUAAUUUUCAAAAACGUUUUUUGGAGGCAGCUGAUUUAUUUUAACCUAAAUUACUAUCAUGCAAAUGUGGUGACCACACGGGUGCUCAUCCAUUAUUAAAACAUUCAAAUAGGAAUAAUAAAUAAAUAAAUUGCAUCACACGAAGCAAGCAAUCAUUUUAUGGGUUUUCUUAAAAAUUAGAAUUCUUUUUAGAAAAAUGCAUUUUAAAACUAAAUGACUUAAUCUUAUUAAUAUGCAAAUCCUAAUUAAAUGGGUCUAUUAUGCAAACUAAUUAACAUGCACCUCAUGACCUAAUUUCACUAAUAAAAAAAUUAUGAUUAAAUGAUCCUAUUAUGCGAACUAGUUAACAUGCACCUAGUAUUUUUGUAUUUUUUUUUAUUGAAACUUUAGAAUUUAUGAAAUCCCUACUUAAUCUAUCUAAAAAGGGAUAAUUUUCUAAUUUAUUCUAAGGAUUCAUUUAACUUAAACCCUAUCCUAUCUUAGAAAACUAUUUAUUGAAAAAUGAGAUAAUUAAAAUGUGCGAACACUAUCUAAAACCCUAAAGAAUUUACUUAGGUUCAACCCUAACUUAUUUCUAAAAAUGCAAUCCUAAAAAUGUAAUCCUAAGAAAAAUCUAAGUUAUUAAACCUACAUGUUUGAUUUACUAAACCUAUAUGCUCAUGCAGAAUUUUGAUUUUUGAUUUUAUGAAUUUUUUUAGUUAUUUUAAAAAGAUAAGUAAUUAUUAAAUAAAUAUUAAAUCUAAGCUAUCAACAAAAUAAAGGAUUAAAAUAAUCGAAAAAAAUAACAUGUUGUCUCACAGGUCAAAUUAAGUCACAUGUCAAAUUAACGAUUAUCCUAACUCUAACUAUCACGACAAAGAGAUCAAAAUAAUUAAAAAUCUGAUCCGAAGUCUUACGGAUCAAAUUAAUAAUUAUAAUGAUUUAACAAUUUAAAUUCUACCAAAAAUAGCCCAAAAAUUAAUAUAAUUAAAAAAUAAUCCGAUAUCUCUCGGAUUAAAUUAAUAAUUACAAUAAUUCUGGACAAAAUCCUAGCGGAUAAUGCCUACAAACUGCACAAAUAUUAACAUUCAAUAUUACAAUUUAAGCCAUUACAACUAAACAUGAUAAAUAAAAAAAUAAUAAUAAACUACCUUGAUUUUUUUUUAAAUAAAAAAGGGGCCGGAGCACGGGCGGUUUGGGCAGUGACGAUGCUGGUGCUCGGAGGUGAGGCAGGUGCCACGGACGGGCGGAGGCGCGGCGUGCUGAACGGCGAGGGUGCGGGAUCGCGGCGGCGCGGGACCGGUGCAGGCGCGGGUGAGGAGCGGACGCACGGCGAUGAGCGGCGCGGAGGCAACGCGGGCUGCUGGCGCGGCAGCGUCGGGCUCCGAGGUCAGGUGCGGGGGGCGACGCGGGCAGCGGUACUGCGGAGACGAGCUGCUGAGGCGGAAGGGUUCAGUCAGGUGAGUAGCAGUCGGCGGUGGUGCGGGCUGCUGAGGUGUAGCGACGGAGUCGAGCUCUGGCGCAGGGACAGCGGGUUGCUGGUAUCGGAUGAACAGAGGCGCGCAGUGAAGGGCGCUGCAGAUCGCGGAUGAAGCGUGGCGACGCCGGGCCUGGUGAAGCGGCGGCGGCGCUCGUGGAGUCGGUGCGACGCGAGAGCGGGUAGGGGCGUCCACGCGAAGAAGACGAACAGUUGCUGCUGCUGCUUUUUUUUUUCUUUUUUUUUUUCUCUGGCCACACAUCACUUCUCUGCUCUUUUUCUCUUUCUUUUGCUGACUUUUCCCCUUCUUUUCUUCUGCAGGUUGUCAGAAGGGAAAAAAAGAAAAAGACCCUUGGAUGAGAAAAUGGGGUUUCCUCUCUUUUAUUUUUUUUUCUCACUUUCACGAAUGCUCUCAGCUUUUUUCACGAAAAUUUUUUGGCCGAUUCUUCCCCCUCAAACCUUGUGCAGGUCCACAUUCCGCACGACCACUUUCUAUGGUAAAUUUCAAACUUUCAUCUUCUGUUACAUUAAAUUAAAUAUGCAAAUCGGAACAUGAUUUGGCAAUUAGCUCAAUUUUACACCGAUUCCUUCCAUUUUAUCAAAAUCCUUAGCCUUUGUUCACCUGAUUUUAAAAUUGUUGCUGCAUUUAACAAAAUCCGGACAUCCAUCAUAAUUCCAUAUUUCCUUGCAUACUUACAUCAAAUCAAUUUCCCUCAUUUUCAUUUUAUUAUUUGUUCAAAAUGCAAUUUUAUUUUUCCAAAAUUAGGUGUCAACAAUUAAAUGAAUGUACGAUUUAUUAUCUAAAUAUUUCAGUAAAUUAAUGUCCAUCGGACCACAUUUUCCGCUCAUUUCCAUCUGGCAGUUUCUGAUUUGGUGGUUUUCUCGAGAUUUUUUCACCAAGUCGCGAUCCCAAAGUCCACACAAGUCAAUGUCUGGACUCCAUGCCUGGCAACGAAAGCUGUUGGACAGCUCCAAAUGGGGCUUCCAUGCACCGAAACAUCAGGACCGCACCCGUGACCACAAGCGUCUCGUCAUCAUUUAACGUUGUUUGUUCUCGUAUCGAUUGCGACUUCGUGAAAUUUCCAAGAAACGGGGAAGCGUGACUCUCGUUUCCGAGAUAUUUUUACGCGGUUUUAUUAUCCGUGCAAAGAGAGGCAAGGGUUGGAGCGCUCUAUAAAACCACUGGAGAACUCGUAUUCAUUAUCCUCGUUUCUACACAUAUAUCGAGAGGCAAUCCAAGCAUGAAGGUGGAAAUACAGUGGAAGAAGCUGGUCAAGCCGUCAGUGCCGACACCGAGCGACCAGCGAAAAUGGAAGCUAACGUCAAUAGAUGAGCUUCAGAUGCCAAAUUAUGUGGGCGUUAUCUUCUACUAUAGAGAUGAUGCUGGGAACCCCAGAGUCGAUAUAUCUCAAAGGCUUCACCAAAUGGAGGAGUCACUUUCCAAAACUCUAACCCUCUUUUAUCCUAUGGCAGGGAGAUACAUCGAGGACGACUAUGGUUGUUUUAUCGAUUGUAACGACCUUGGAGUGGAGUUCGUCCAUGCCAAAGUGGAUGGCCAAAUUGAUCAGCUUCUCCAUAGAGACCCCGACAUGGAUUUGCUCGAAUAUUUGUCGCAAUUCCCGAACAAUUCAGUAGGCAAUCCACUAGUGGUGAUUCAAGUGAAUACGUUCGAGUGCGGCGGAAUAGCAAUUGGCUUGCGCUCUACACACAGGAUCAGCGACGUGUGCACCAUAGCCAUAUUCAUUAAUUCGUGGGCCACCGCUUGCCGAGGUAACGUAGAUGUUACAGUCUGUCCAAGUUUCGAGUUGUCGUCUCUAUUCCCAAUGAAAGUGUCGGCCGUUGCGAAUUGGCCUCCGCCACGGAGUACUGGCAGCAAGGAAUUCACGGUGUCUAGGUUCAGGUUCAGCGGUGAUGCUAUAUCGAAGCUGAGAGCCCUAGCAAGGGAUGAUGCAAAGGAUUCAAUGGCCAACAACUUCCAGCCUUCGAGGGUGGAGGUUGUUUCGGCACUAAUAAGUAAGGCUCUCGUCAAGAUUGAUCGAUGUGGACAGGGCGAAGAAAGGCCUAUCGCAGUUUAUAUGACGUUUAACUUGCGCGAUAAAGUCAAACUAAAGAUACCCGCAAAUUCUUGUGGCAAUUUCUUCAGCGUGAUUUCUGGGCGCUCCGAUCAACCCGCGGCCAGCAAAAGGAAUCCGGAGUUCAAUGAGAUGGUGAAUAUAAUCCACAAUAUAAUAUCGGACGCUAAAACGAAAUAUGCAACAAUAGUAAACAAGCAGGAGUUCUGCUCGACGGUGGGGAAUUCUAUAGCCGAAUUUGUCAAAGUCGCGUCCUCAAACGAAGUGCAUACGAUAUUUUUUAGUAGCUGGUGCCGUUUCGGGCUAUUUGAGAUUGACUUCGGGUGGGGAAGUCCGGUUCCCGUCAGCAACAUAUCAUUGAAUCUCAGAUCGGCCUUUCUUAUCGACGAUGAAGAGGGCAAAGGAAUUGAUGCAUGGACAACCACCACUGGAGAUGAGAUGAUUCUUCUUAAACAAGAUCCGGAUAUACUGGCAUUCACUUCCAAGUUGGAGGUGGAGAGGUUGCACGAAUAUGUAAUCUGAGAAGUCAUUGUAUCUUACUAUAAUGUAGAGCAGGAAAAAGAAAAUGGACUUGGUCUGUAGUAUUUGUUACAUCUAUUUCAUUUCUUUAAGAAGGAUGGUUCUUGUGGACAAUGUUAAUCAACUUAUUGAAUACCUUAGAGCGAACUCCUCUAUCGUGUUCAAUUUCCUCAGGCUAACCUGUCACACCCCAAAUCUCGAGCACGCGUAUAUCCAUCGGUGGUCGAUAAAAUUGCGACGUCCCAAGACGCGUCGCCAACCCGUUAAUUUUAAGGCACAUGUGGAAGCAAAAUAAAAACCCCUAACUGUAAACAGUAUGAGAUAAAAAAAACAGGACAACAAAUUCACAAACAAAACACAUUUUUAUAAACAAACUAGUCUAUUUAUGAAAAGAUCAGCUCUCCAAAAGAAGUUAUCCUACAACCCACUAAUCGGACAUAUUCGCCGAUCCUUCGGACUCCACUUCAAUAGGCUCUGGGGGCUUCAGGUCCUCCACAACCCCAUCAAGAGGGUCAGCUGCACCCUUACCCAGAGCAGCGUUGACUGCAAUAGCGAAGAUAUCAAAACCCUGAAGGGGACCAUCCCAUUAUCCAUUGAACCCAUGGCGAAAUCAUGCCCUAAAUUGAUGAGGUACCCUCUGAGGUAGGCUCUCAUCAACCCAGACAGUGGUCACUAUGAGCUCAUAGACCCAAUGACUUCCGGGGACAAGGACAUUCGUGCUCCACUCAGUAACCCCUCAAGGCUGACCAAAACGAACUGGAGGUACCGCCAUCUAAGGACCUGAAAAUGUUAAGCCCAUGACGGGGUGAGACAAUAUCUCAGCAAGUUUACUCCCUAAACCCCUAUUUAGGAAGAAAAUACGCAUAGAGGUAAUCUAACCACACAUCACAUAAGACUUACCUUGCCUCAGUUCAUUCCUAUACAUCAGUACAAUUCAUAUCGCAUAUAAUUGCAUUAAAAGCACUCAUCAAUCGGGACGUCUGAACUUAUAACCAAACAAUUAUAGGGGUUCCGAUUAUAAGGCCAAAUCGUUAUUACCCGUCUCAUUCCGUGCCACACAAUUUUCUCCUAUAAUCAGGCGUGUCAAUUCAAUCAAUCACACAUCUCAAUUGAUUACGACCCAAUGGCCACGAUCAAAUCAAUAGUCAGCGGUCUUCCGGUGUAGCUGGGCAUCGUCUCGCACCAUUGAGCACGGCAACUUCUAUACAUAGACGGUAUUUCAUUAGGAAGCAUCGGUCCAGCCUCCAUUACAAUUGACAUUUGUUGACUUGGGGCAUCCCAUGUAGAGCAUCGUCCGGCUUAACAGCUUGUGACGGAUUUUCAUAGCCAUCACACGAUCAUUCAACCUUGGGCAAGGACAUCAUGCAUUGUACUCAAAUGUCUCAAUUAAAAUAUUGAAUUUGGCAUAUUUUCUUCAUAUUAAAAACACCUGGUAAAAAAAACCGUGUGGGUACAUGGUCAGAUCGAACUAAAAAAAUUGAUAUUCUUCCUUUUUAAAUUUCACUAUUUAAUAUAGUAUUUAAAAGCAUUUUCGGUGUCAAAACCUGACACCCGGUAUUUUCUAAUUAAAUACCAAAAUUUCACAAUUUUGAAAUAAUAACUCAAAAUCACAAUCAUCACUCAAAUUGUACAAAUUAACAUUCAAUUGCAUAAACUAAACACACCAUUGCAAUCAGCACGAAAUUCCGGUCACUGACUAUCCUAGUAUAAUUUUCAAAAAAUAUUAAAUAAUUAAAUAAAUAACAAAAAUAAUUAAAUUAGUGCAAUUUAACCAAAUAAAUACAAACCUAGGCCGGAAACACUAAUUUAACCACCUAACCGGGCCUAAAAAAUUAAUGCACCUAUCCACAUAAAUAUUACAAUCUAUUUAGCUCUUAAUCAAUCUAUUCUAACAACCUAACAAUCAUAAUUAAGCAAUUAAAUCACUAAUCCAUACUAACUAAUCACAUAAAUCAUACUUAGCCUAAUCUAAUUACCUACUAAACGUCAUUAACUCCAUAAAUAGAGUUUAGCAAGUAAACUCAUUGGAUUAGUGAACCGGUGAGUCCAUGGCGAUCGCGACGUAGAGGCGAGGGGAACAUGAGCUUGCAGCUGUUGGAGAAAUCUUCUUGAAGUGUUUUGAAGCUGAAAAAACGUUUCCAUCAGUCUAGUCUGAAGGCUUGCAGACUCUGCUAUUUAAAGUCUGAAGACCUCCGGACAGCCAGACUCAAGACUCAAAGUCUAUCCUCAUUGACAGUCUUUAAUCCGUUGAAGAAAUGUUAUCAAGAACUUGAUGUUUCGUUAAGGAUUUAACCUUAUCAACUGGAGAAGAUCUCGUGGCUGGAAAAGACAUAACGGAGUCCUUUGAUUGAUCGAAGAUUGACUCGAUAAAUUGAAGAUCCGGUGAUUGCCUAAAUAUUAUUGGAAGGUUCUACUUAUGGAAACCGAGAUUCUGAUUGUAUGGGCGAACAGGAUUGAUGAGCUAUCGACACGUUCCUUUAAUAGCUCGAACAAUCUUCCUAAUUGAUUCCGUCCAACGGGUAGAUUGGAGGAAUUCCUUUGGUAAGUGCCAACGGGUAUGAUGGCAUAAAGGAGUAUAUAAGGAAGACGGUCUUAGUUGUUCAAGGUGUGCGCGAUAGAAGAAUUCCAAAGUCUGAAGCUCCUUUUUGUUUAGACAAUUACUUUGAGCAAAUACUUGUAUACAAAAGAGAGUCUAUAUUUGUGAGAAAUCUUGAGGAGGUGUGGUAGAACAUCUACACUGUGGAAUCAAGGCAAAGCUGUGCUGUAACUUCUCUUUUGUUCAUAGUGGAAUCUAGCCAAUAAGCUGUCAGUGAAGAAGAGUGGACGUAGGCUUGAUAUAAGCCGAACCACUAUAAACCGCGUGUUCAAUUUUCUCUUCUCUCAGUCUUACUUUGAUUAUCGUUUGUCUCAAAUCCAUCAACUGUCUAGUAUUGUGCAAUUAUCGAAGAAAAAUCUUUUAUAUACCUAUUCACCCCUCUCUAGGUACUUAUACUAGCAAUAUCAAUUGGUAUCAGAGCCUGUGUACUUACUUUAUUUGAAGUGUUUUACUUCGUAGUAAAAGAUCCAUGGCUAGUAUGCUAGCACCAGGGCUGAUGGAAGGGCAAAGCAAUACCAGACCACCCUACUUUGAUGGAAAGGAUUACAACAUCUGGAAGAAGAAGAUGAAAGCUUUCCUACGAUCAAAGGAUCCUCUGGAAUGGGACGUUGUAGAAAAAGGAAUUACUCCUAUCACUGCAUCAGUCUCUAAAAGAGGGAAAGAAACUAUUGAGACCAGCGGAUUGACUCAGGAAGAGAUAAUCAAGAGACAAGCACUCAACGCAAAAGCAAUUUACUCUUUAUAUUGUGCUUUGUCACCAACUGAAUAUAAUAGAAUAUCUUCUUGUGUUACAGCAAAAGAAGUUUGGGACAGAUUGUAUAUCACCUAUGAAGGAACAGAUCGAGUGAAGGAAACCAGAAUUAACAUUCUUCUCGGUCAAUAUGAAGCCUUCAAAAUGAAACCAGGAGAAUUUAUAACUGACAUGUUUAGCCGUUUUAUAGAUAUUGUCAACGGUCUAGAGAAUCAAGGACAAACAAUUUCUGAUCCCAUGAAGGUAAACAAGCUAUUGCGUGGACUCUCCAAGGAUUGGAAUCACAUAAAGACUUCGAUAAGAGAGACGCAAAGAAUUAUGCCACUAUCUGUCGACGAGCUAAUUGGAACUCUUCAGUCUUAUGAAGUGGAACGGAUCAAUGAAGAUGAAGAUCCAAAAGGUAAGAAAUCCAUUGCAUUAAAAUCAAAUGAUGAUUAUGAUGAUACAGAUUCUGAAGAUGAUAUGGACGAUGAAGAGCUUGCUCUCAUGAUAAGAAGAUUCAGAAAACUGAAUAGAAAAGGAAGAAGGUUCAACUCAAAGAAACAAAGCUUUCAAAGACAGCAGACCAAGUCUGUUGAUGAUGAGGAACCAAACAAAGAUGUAGUCUGCUUUGAAUGUAAGAAAAAGGGACACAUCAGACCCAACUGUCCUCUUCUGAAGAAGAAGAGAGGAAAAGCUGAAAAAUUUCGAAAAGCUCUCAAAGCCGAAACCUGGAGUGAUACAGAGUGUGAAGAAAGUGAUAAUGAAUAUGCCAAUCUAUGUCUGAUGGCACAAUCAGACUCAGACUCUGGAUCAGACUCAGACAGUGAAUUUGAGGCAAGUAAUUUUAAAAUUCCUGUCAAAGUUUCUAAAUACAUUGAUGAACUGUGUUUUAGUCUUAAGACUUCUCUCAAAAGAAUUUCCGAACUGAAAAAGGAAAACUCAGCUCUAAAACAAAAGGAAAACAUUUUAGUAGAAAGAGUUAAAAGUCUAGACUUGACUGUUUCCACUUUUAAAGAAAAUGAAGAUAAUCUUUUAAAAGAAAAUGCUCUUUUAAAAAAUGACUUAUCAAAUAUUUCAAAGAAAUUUUCAAUAGGGUCUGAAAAACUUGAAAAAAUUCUUUCAGCUCAAAGACCUUACUUCAAUAAGUCCGGUCUAGGUAUGACAGCAGAAACAAUUCCCUUAAUUGAUUUUCCUAAAGUAAAAGAAAGAAUUAAGAAAAGACUCUCGAGAGAGGCUUACAAAAAUCAUUUCAAGAAAGUUUUUGUAAAAUCUGUAGGUAGAAAUGCUCUCAGAUGUUCAAAGUGCAACAGUCCGGAUCACUUUGAAAAAGAGUGUCCUAUGGUUUGGAAACCUGUUAAGAAAAUAUGGGCUAAUACUGCUUAUGUUACUAACACCAAAGGACCCAAGAAAGUUUGGGUACCAAAGAAAGCUUGAGACUUUAUUUUAAAUGCAGGUCACUGUCAAGAAAAAGGUAAAGUGGUAUCUUGACAGCGGAUGCUCAAGACACAUGACAGGAGACUCAAAUUGUUUUAUAAAGCUUACUCAAGUAAAUGGUGGAAAAGUUUCAUUUGGAGGAAACAACAAAGGAAGUAUUGUGGGAUUUGGAACUGUGAAAAUUGGAAAUCUCACAAUAAGUAAUGUUUCCUUAGUGGAAGGACUCAAUUACAAUCUUCUCAGCAUUAGUCAAUUGUGUGAUACUGGUUUCAAGAUCUUCUUUCAAGAAGGAAUAUGUUCUGGAAUCAGUAAAGACUCUACUCAGUCUUUCAUGGGUCGAAGACAUGGAAACAUCUAUCUUCUGGAUAUGAAACCAAAUGAAUCGCAAUGUCUUAUCUCAAUUCAAGAUGAAGCAAGCUUAUGGCACAGAAAGCUUGGUCAUGUCAACAUGAAGUAAUUAGCCAAAAUCUCAUCAAAGCAGCUUGUUCGAGGACUACCCAAAUUACCUUAUCAAAAGACUGAUCCAUGCACUCCAUGUAUUCUGGGAAAGUAGGUAAGAAAUUCAUUUAAGCCAAUAAAUCAUGUCUCUACUAAUCAUGUACUACAGUUGCUGCAUAUGGAUCUCUUCGGACCAACCAGAACACAGAGUAGUGGAGGUAAGAAAUAUUGCCUAGUAAUUGUGGACGAUUACUCCUGUUUUACUUGGGUAUAUUUCCUUGCAAGUAAGUCCGAAACCUUCUCGUAUUUUGAAAAAUUUGCUAAAAAGGUUCAAAAUGAAAAAGGAUGUGUUAUCUCAAGUAUAAGAACAUAUCAUGGAGGUGAAUUUGAAAAUCAAGAUUUUACAAAAUUUUGUGAUGAAUCUGGCUUUAAGCAUGUGUUCUCCUCUCCAUAUACUCCUCAGCAAAAUGGAGUUGUGGAAAGAAAGAACAGAUCUCUUCAAGAAAUGGCUAGAACUCUUUUAAUUGAAAGUAAGAUUUCUUCACGAUUUUGGGUUGAAGCUAUUUCAAUAGCUUGCUAUAUCAUCAAUAGAGUCUUCUUAAGACCUAUUCUAGAGAAAACCCCUUAUGAGUUAUUCAAAGAUAAGAAGCCUAUUGUUUCAUACUUUCAUGUAUUCGGUUGCAAAUGUUUUAUAUUGAAAAAUGCAAAAGAUCGAGUUGGUAAGUUUAAAGAAAGAUCAGAUGAAGGUAUCUUCCUUGGAUAUUCUACAUCAAGCAAAGCCUACAGAGUCUAUAACAAGAAGAGCCAGUCUGUGGAGGAGUCAAUGAAUGUCAAAUUUCAAGACUCAACGCAAGAUGAAUCAAGUCAGACUCAUCAAGAAGAGUCUGAACCUGCUUCAGACCCUCCAAAGCUUACAACUCAAGAAGCAUAUCAGACUCUGGAAGACCAGCAUCAGGUUGUUCGUGAAGAUCCAAAUAAAGAGAGAGAUCAUCAACCAGACAAAUCAACAAGUAACUGGAAGCAUAAGUCCAGUCAUCCCAAAGAUCUUAUAAUCAGCGAAAUUAAUGAAGGAAUUCGCACCAGAUCCAAAAGGGGAGAAGAGUCUAGUGCUGUGGCUCUUGUUUCUGAAAUUGAACCAAAGAGCAUAGAAGAAGCUUUAUCUGAUGAAAGCUGGAUUGAAGCUAUGCAAGAAGAGCUCAGACAGUUCAACAUUAAUGAUGUCUGGGAAUUGACAUCCAAACCAAAAGGUAAAACUGUUAUUGGAGCUAAAUGGGUGUUCAGAAACAAGAUGAAUGAGAAAGGAAGAGUCGUACGAAACAAAGCAAGACUCGUGGCCAAGGGAUAUAUGCAAGAAGAAGGAAUAGACUAUGAUGAGACUUACGCACCAGUAGCAAGGUUAGAAGCUAUUCGACUAUUACUUGCGUUUGCUUGUUAUAAGAAUUUCAGGUUAUUCCAAAUGGACGUCAAAAGCGCCUUCCUAAAUGGAUUUAUCCAUGAGGAAGUUUAUGUGGAACAACCACCAGGGUUUGAAGACCCAAAGAAGCCAGACUCAGUCUUCAGACUGAAAAAGGCUUUGUAUGGUUUAAAGCAAGCACCUCGAGCUUGGUACGAUAGAUUAAGUAAGUUCUUAAUACAAAAUGGUUUUGUCAAAGGUAAAGUAGAUACAACUUUAUUUAUCACAAAGGAAAACAAAAGUUUCUUACUUGUUCAAAUAUAUGUGGAUGACAUUAUUUUCGGAUCCUCUAAUGAAAAUCCGUGCAAGAAAUUUUCUAAGUCUAUGCAGGAUGAGUUUGAAAUGAGUAUGAUGGGAGAGUUAACAUUCUUUCUUGGUCUUCAAGUAAAACAAUUGAAGGAAGGAACUUUUAUUUAUCAAGAAAAAUAUGUUAAUGAUCUUGUCAAAAGGUUUGGACUGGAAAAGUCCAAAAAGACUGACAUACCGAUGUCAAGUUCUUUGAAGAUAGACAAAGAUGAAGAAGGGAAGAAAGUUGAUCAAAAGCUGUACAGGAGCAUCAUUGGUUCACUUCUUUAUCUUACUGCUUUUAGACCUGACAUUUUGUUGAGUGUUUGCAUCUGUGCUAGGUUUCAAUCGGAUCCUAGAGAAUCCCAUCUCAGUGCUGUGAAACGUAUCAUUAAAUAUGUUGCUACAUCAUCAAGCAUCGGUCUUUGGUAUCCUAAGAAGGGAGACUUUAAUCUUCUGGGAUAUUCAGACGCAGAUCUGGCCAGUUGCAGUUUGAUAGAAAGAGCACUUCAGGAACUUGCCAGUUACUUGGAAGCAGGACAGUGUCUUGGUUUUCAAGGAAACAAAGCACUGUGUCUCUUUCAACAACAGAAGCAAAGUAUGUAGCCCUUGGAAGCUGCUGUUCGCAAAUUCUAUGGAUAAAACAACAGCUAAGAGACUUUGAAAUUGAAGACUCAUGCACGGAGAUUAAUUACGACAACACCAGCGCUAUCAACCUCACCAAAAAUCCAAUUCUCCACUCAAGAGCAAAACAUAUAGAGAUUCGACAUCACUUUAUUAGAGACCAUGUUCAAAAUGGAGAUGUUUCAAUUCAAUUUGUUGACUCAAAGAACCAACUAGCGGAUAUAUUCACAAAGCUUUUGGAGAAAAAUCAAUUUGAAUAUAUCCGUUCCAGACUCAACAUUUUGAGGUAUGAGGAUAUCAAAGUCUAAAGACUUUCAGACUCAGACUUACAAGACUUUAUCUUUAAGAUAGUCUUGGUACGAUCGUCAGACUGUAAGUCUUUCUCUCUUGAAUCUCAUCUUGAAAAGGUACGAUCGUCAGACUGUGUUUAAAUUGUUGCUAUAUUUAAUUGACGUAAUUAUUGCAUCGUUUCAUUUUCAAAAAGGAAGUUAUUUUUGAAAUGGCUAUUUUUGCGGAAAAAGACAGUUGUUUUGAAAAGGCAUUUUUUUAUUUCCUUUGUGACGGUUCGUUUAUCUCUCUUUUUAACCGAUCGAGCACUGUCGAUUCCUCUUCACUUUAUUCUCAAAAACCCUAGAAAGCAUCGAUCCUCCAUUUUCGUUUGUCUUCUUUGUUUAAUCUUCAAAAAAUUGUCAUCUUUCUUGGGAAAGUCAAGUAAGGAAUCUUCCAAAAAUUGAGAAAGAUGUCAUCUUCAAGAAAGUCUUCGAGAAUCGCAAGCAGGGGACCACGGCGAAUAAGUGAGGGGCCUACGCACUUCGAUCUUACUGAAGAAGAAGUGUCUCCAGAACAGCAAGCGAGCCCACAACAUUCUCAGCAGCGUCAUUCUCCUCCACCUAGUCCUCAAGGCGUUGAUCAUCACCAACAAGAAGAAAUCAUCGAGGAUGCAGACCCUGUAAGAGUUCAAAAGCCUGCUUAUAUUUACCAGCUAUAUUGUGCCUUAAAAGGAAUUCGUACUCCUUUGAACUAUGUUGAUGAUUUUCUUAAAGACAAAGGACAUGGGAACGAAUAUAUCUUUCUGCGAAAAAUGGAAAGUUUGGGAAUUGCUCGUAAAGGGGUGGCUGAGGAAACCCUUGCGAAUAUCCCAAGUGAUCCUCGUGAUUGGGGGCCGAAUCCUGUAGAUGGGAAUGAUGAUGACAAAUUGUACAGUCAAUUUCAACCGAAAAUGGGUGUUGCGGUUGAAAAUCAAGGAAAAAUGGGAGAUUUGUUCAGAUCGAAGGAACAAAAGGAUCUGUACUCGAAAUUGCUGAAGCGUGGGGUAAUAAACCCUAGGAGUGUAGAUUUUGAUUUUCUAGAUGCUGUGAAUGUGAACUUGAGGGAAAAGUUCAGUUAUCUUCAACUUAAAAAGUUCUGCUCUGACACUACAGAGGCCUAUGCUGAAUUAACUGCAUAUUUCUAUUCAAAUCUUAGCUUUUUGGAUGCGAAUAGAUUCUCUUUCAGCGUUAAAGACCAAGACUAUGUUGUGGAUAUGAAUAUGCUGGCAGAUGUGUUAGGAGUUGAAAGAGGAAGAUAUCAACCAAUCAAAGUUUCCAUUGCUCGGGCCACACUGGAACUGGUGAAGGACAGGAGAACAGAUGAAAAGAUCACCUACUUAAGGAUGAGUGCAUUCAACAUCUUGCUUCACAAGAUUGUGAUUAAUUGCCUCCGACCGAAAUCAACUUCCAAGACUGAUGUUUCAAGUUCAGAGGCCAAGCUGAUGUAUGCCAUCCUCUUUGGGAAAAGGUUUUCUCUCCCUCACACUGUUAUGUUUCACAUGUAUAAAGCAAUGAUGAAGGACAGAGGUCAACUCCCUUACCCAAGCCUUGUUACGAAGUUAUUUAGACAUCUGAAUAUUCAGCCUCCGCAAAUCUUUUAUGUUCGACCAUGCGAUCAUAUGGUGGUAGGACUGAAAAUGGUGACCAAAAUGCGUCUGAAGGAACUGAGCAAGGAGUUGGAGAAAUUCAAGGAGAAGACUCCUGCCAAAACUCAUCAAAUCUCUUCUGCAGCUAAAAGAAAAGGGAAGGAGCCCAUGGUUGCUCCAUCCAAGAGAAGAAGAGCUCUCCUCAUUGAGGAUGAAGAUGAUGAGGAAGACAUCACCAUCUCUACAAUGGCUUUGAAGAAUUUAAGUUGUCCUGUUCCACAGAAAGAAUCGGAACAAAUGACGAAAAAAGCAGAGGAGAAGGAAGAAGAAGAAAUAGAAGCUGAAAAAGAAGCAGAGGAGGAAAGACCUGAAGAAGAAAGAAGAGAAGAAGGAGAACCUGAGGAACACUCUUCUCCACCUGUAGGCAUGGAAACAGGGGGAGAUCAGGAGAAAGGAGUGAAGUCUUCAUAUCCUGAUGCAAGUGAAGGAGUCAGUCGCUUACCUGCAGACCCAGAGGAUGUUUAUGCCUCUCAGUUUCCAGAGGAAGGUCAUGAAGUUUCAUCGCCAAAUCUGCGAGAUUAUGCUGAUCUACCAUUGUCUGCAUUUACUCCAUCAGAUCGAGCCGAAGCAAGUACUCAGACUGAUAAUGCAGCAGAUUUUCACAGAAUCAUGGAUAUUCUCUUGGAGAUGCGAGGUCAAAUUUAUGCCUUGGGAUGCGAGGUUCAAAACUUGCAGAAUGCGGGUCAAGUUUCUUCAUGUUCAUUGAAUGAUAAGAUCCAAGCCCUCUUUGUUCAGAUUCAGGCCAAUGCCAAGGGUGAGGAGAUUGCACAACUAAAGGAAGACUUGAAAAGGCUGGAAGGCAUCGUUCAGUCUAUGGAAGAUUUCCAGCUUGUCCGCGUUCCCAAGCAAUCUUGACUUCAUCUCAUCAUUUUUAAUGUUGACAAAAAGGGGGAGAGAUGCAAGAUUUGAACAAACUUUCAAUUGUUAAACUUUUUGUUGGAUUGUUUUGUUGUUUGAACUCUGUUUGACUUUGUUUUGUGUCUGGAUGAGAACUGAACUAGACUUGGACUUGACUGCUUCUAUUAACUAGUAUUGAUUUCUUAUGGAUGACUUUAUCGUAUACUAGACUAACCUAUUUUCUGUGGUUGCAGAUUCUAGUGUUAUUCAUUUAGCCAUUUAUCUCUAUAAGAUAUGCAUAUGUGUUUGAGAAAUGUUUUGCAGGUCAAAGUUAUCCAAAUCUGUAGGAAAUUUUUGUCACCAUCAAAAAGGGGGAGAUUGUUGGAGAAAUUUUCUUGAAGUGUUUCGAAGCUGACAAAACGUUUCCAUCAGUCUAGUCUGAAGGCUUGCAGACUCUGCUAUUUAAAGUCUGAAGACCUCUGGACAGCCAGACUCAAGACUCAAAGUCUAUCCUCAUUGACAGUCUCUAAUCCGUUGAAGAAAGGUUAUCCAGAACUGGAUGUUUCGUUAAGGAUUUAACCUUAUCAACUGGAGAAGAUCUCGUGGCUGUAAAAGACAUAACGGAGUCCUUUGAUUGAUUGAAGAUUGACUCGAUAAAUUGAAGAUCCGGUGACUGCCUAAAUAUUAUUGGAAUGUUCUACUUAUGGAAACCGAGAUUCUGAUUGUAUGGGCGAACAUGAUUGAUGGGCUAUCGACACGUUCCUUUAAUAGCUCAAACAAUCUUCCUAAUUGAUUCCGUCCAACGAGUAGAUUGGAGGAAUUCCUUUGGUAAGUGCCAACGGGUAUGAUGGCAUAAAGGAGUAUAUAAGGAAGACGGUCUUAGUUGUUCAAGGUGUGCGCGAUAGAAGAAUUCCAAAGUCUGAAGCUCCUUUUUGUUUAGACAAUUACUUUGAGCAAAUACUUGUAUACAAAAGAGAGUCUAUAUUUGUAAGAAAUCUUGAGGAGGUGUGGUAGAACAUCUACACUGUGGAAUCAAGGCAAAGCUGUGCUGUAACUUCUCUUUUGUUCAUAGUGGAAUCCAGCCAAUAGGCUGUCAGUGAAGAAGAGUGGACGUAGGCUUGAUAUAAGUCGAACCACUAUAAACCGCGUGUUCAAUUUUCUCUUCUCUCAGUCUUACUUUGAUUAUCGUUUGUCUCAAAUCCAUCAAUUGUUUAGUAUUGUGCAAUUAUCGAAGAAAAAUCUUUUAUAUACCUAUUCACUCCCCUCUAGGUACUUAUACUAGCAAUAUCAGCGGCAACACCAAGCGAGGCCCAGAAGAGACCUAAAACGGGCCACGAAGCCCGACAGCCUUUGUUGCCUUCGGUUUUGUCGAAGGACCGAAGGGCUGGGCUAAGCGGCGGGUUGGCUGGAAACAGCCACAAGGGCGGCAAACGGCAGCAACGAGACAAGGUGGUGGCUCCGGCGGCUUGGAUGGCUUGGACGGCAACCAUGGCGAGCUCGAGGACUUGUUAGCAGACGCGAGAUAAUGGCCUAGGCUCGCGGGGGAUGGCGAGCAGGCGUGGGACGAGCAGGAUGCGAGUGGGAGGAUGGCGACGGCUUGGGAGGAUGACUGCUACUUGGACAAAUGGCACGGGUGGUUGACGGCAUGAGGUCCUGAUUUCUCUAGUUUUCUUGAGCUCACAACACUUCAACAAUGGAGAAAGGGGCAACAAGGAGGAGGAAGAAGAGAGCUCAGCUGAAAGGGUGCCUAAAAUGCCUUUAAAGUCUCUUCAAAAUUUCGAAACACUCAUCACCAAUGCCCCACCAUGCUCAGCCAUCAUCCUCAGCCAUUAGCCACACCAAAGCUUCUCCAAGAACUAUCCCAAGGUGGCUGAAAUGUUGCUCCCCCCUUAGCCUAAGAACUUUGUAACAUUUCUCCUUAAAUUUCAUUCAAUUCCUCUCCAAAAUAACCCAAUUGAUGCCCCAAAAAUUCAGCCAAGGUGUCCACACUUAAUUCCGCACUUUUCCUUGCUAAAUAAUCCAACUUGAUGGCCAAAUGUGCAACAAAAAACGGUCUUCAAAUUUUCCCGGUCAAAAAUAGCCAUACUUAGAAUUUUUGUCGAAAACUCGAGUUUAUAGAAAAAAUUUUGAAGGAUGAGUCGACGUUCCUAAAAUAAAUUGUGACAUGACAAAACUUUCAAUUUCUGAAAUCGGGUUCAAUUUCACGGUUAAUUUCAAUUGGACGCGAAUUUAACGUGACCUAACCUACCGGGUAGCUUUUAGGAAUUUUUAGCGCAUUUGACCCAUGGUCGAUUAUUUUCGAGCGACAUUGUACUUUUUCGACACAUUGACGACUUUCGGUUGUCGUGAAAAUCUCGAGGUUUUAAAUACAGACACAGGGUACAUAAAUGACAAAUAAAUCGGUCUAGUCCGUUUGAUGAGAAUUUUUCAAUUAGGUGAUAUCACCCACUCUUUAAUCACAUGCCUCUAUCGAAAUGACCUAUCUCUGGUCUCUAAUCGAUUGUGACAGUGCCGUAUUGACCCUUGCAGAUUAGCAUAGUCAAGCAAUCGAUUUCUGGUUGAAUUCUCAAGUCUAUUGUGUUUAAAUUCCUUAACGACUUCACCUGAUAAAUUAGUUAUCUCGUGAGUGAUCAGUUCAAAGAAAAAGACUAUAGGCGUGUCGAUGAAAAGCCCAACUCAUUUAAUUGAAAACAUAAUCAGAAAAUCAUGAUGUCACAACUCUUCCCCUCUUAUAAAAAUUUCGUCCUCAAAAUUUAAACCAUUAAGGUGGGGGUAUUGUCGUCUCAUCAAGUCUUCACUUUCCUAGGUUGCUCCUUUUGUCUCGAGUUGUUGCCAGACCACUUUGACUAACGGGAUUAUCUUGGUGCAUAGAACCUACUCCUUCCAAUCCACAAUCUGAAUUGGUCUCUCCAUAGAUGACACUCUAUCGUACACAUCUAACUCUUCAAAAUUCAGCAUGUGGGUCGAGUCAGGCUUGUACUUUCUCAACAUCGACACGUGGAAGACGUUGUGCACUUGUGCUAGUCUCGACGGCAACGCAAUACGAUAUGCUAGAGUCCCUAUCAUUUCUAGAAUCUCAAAAGGACCUACGUACCUCAGACUCAGCUUCCCUUUCUUACCGAAGCGCGAAGUAUCCCUCAUCAGUGACACCUUCAAAAAGACAUGCUCACCAACUUAGAAUUCUAAAGGUCUUCGAUGCUUAUCUGCAUAGCUUUUCUAGUGACUUUGAGCAGUCUUUAACAUGUCCCUGAUAUCUGCAACUACAUCCACUGAUUACUGAACCAACUCUGGGCAUGUGAUCUUCUGUUCUCCGACUUAAUCCAACACACUGGCGUUUUGCACGCUCUGCCAUACAACGCUUCAAAAGGUACCAUACGAAUACUCUCCUGGUAGUUGUUGUUGUAGGCAAACUCGACGAGAUGAAGUUGUUCCUCCUAGCUUCCCUUGAAAUCCAACACGCAAACUCGCAGCAAGUCUUUGAGGGUUUGAAUUGUCCUCUCAGACUAACCAUCCGUCUGAGGAUGAUAAGCCGUACUAUACUGCAGUUUCAUUCUUAAGGCAGUCUGCAAAUUUUUCCAAAAAAUAGCUAUAAAUCUUGGGUCUCUAUCAAAUGUAAUCGUCAUCUGCACUCCAUGCAAACAAACAAUCUGACGCAUGUACAAUUUUGCAUAUCUUACUAAAGCAAGGUCCUUCCAUACAGCAAUAAAGUGAGCCGACUUCGUUAAUCUAUCGACCGCAACCCAAAUGAAUUCAUUACCUCUCUGACUCCUUGGUAAGCUCAUGACAAAGUGCAUUAUGAUGUAUUCCCAUUUCCACUCGGUAAUCUUGAGAGGUUGCAAAAGUCCUCCCGACUUACAAUGUUGUGUCUUUACUUGCUGACACGUCAGACACUUGGCGACAUUCUUGGCGAUAUCCGCUUUCAUAUCGGUCCACCAAUAGUGUUGACACAGAUUCUGAUACAUUUUCGUACUACCUCGAUGAAUGAUGUAACUAUUACGAUGAGUUUCUGACAAAAUCUCUUAAGCGCUACAUCGUUAGAGACACACAAUCGUCCUUGGAACCUCAGUGUUCUGUCUUCAGAAAUCUGAAACUCAACCUUUCUCUUUUCGGUAUCCUCUUGUAGGAUCUUCUUAAUCUCUGGGUCUGUCAACUGAAGUGUUUUGAUCAUUAUGUGCACUUACGGUUCAAUUCUGAGGAUGGCCCAUAAGAUUUGAAAGGUGGCCUACCUCAAAUUUGAAAACCGAAUCUCAAGCUCUUUCGAGUAAGACCCACGCUUUAAGCAUCAUCUGCACAACCGAAGACUUCAAAUUCAACACAUCUGCGACCUUAUUAGUCUUUCUAGGAUGAUACAAGAUGUCGCAAUCAUAGUCCUUGAGAAGUUCCAUCCGGCAACGCUAUCUCAUAUUCAACUCCUUCUAAGAGAAUAGGUACUUGAGACUUUGAUGGUCUGUAAAGAUCUGGAAUCUUUCUCCGCACAAAUAAUGUCUCAAAAUCUUUAGAGCAAAAAUAAUCGCUGCGAAUUCCAAGUCAUGCGUUGGAUAAUUCAGCUCAUCAGAUCUCAACUGACGGGACGCAUAUGCAACAGCUCUGCCAUGCUGCAUUAACACACAACUCAGUUCUCUAAACGACGUAUCGUUGUGGAUCUCGUACUCUCUAAGACCAGAUGGUAUGGUCAACAUUAGUGCGGUAGUUAGCUUCUGUUUAAGCUCUUGGAAACUACACUUCCACUUAUCUAUCCACACAAACUUCUCUUCCUUCUUCAGCAGUCAAGUCAAAGGCGAGGCUAACUCUGAAAAUCCUUCCAUGAACCGUUUGUAAGACCCUGCCAAUCCUAAAAAGCUUUUGAUCCCCGUCACUGUCGUCGGUCUUAGCCAGUUGAUAACUGUUUCGAUCUUGGUCGGGUCCACAGAGAUUCCUUCACCUGAAAUCACGUGACCUAGGAAUGCCACACUAGUCAACCAAAACUCGUACUUACUGAACUUGGCGUACAGUUCAUGAUUCCUUAGUGUUUGAAGCAUCAUCCUCAAAUUUCUUUCGUGCUCCUCAAGACUACUCGAGUACACCAGGAUAUCAUCGAUGAAAACGAUCACAAACUGAUCCAAUACUACUUGAACACCCUGUUCAUCAGAUCCAUAAAAGCGACUGGGACGUUCGUCAAACCAAACGGCAUUAUAGUGAACUCAUAAUUGUCGUAUCACGUACGAAAUGCUGACUUCGGUAUGUCCUCAUUUUUUAUCCACAGUUGAUGAUAUCCUGUCCUCAAGUCGAUCUUAGAAAAUAUCGAUACUCCUUGCAGCUAAUCAAACAAGUCGUCGAUCCUUAGCAGCGAGUACUUGUUCUUAAUUGUCACCUAAUUGAGUUGACGAUAGUCAAUGCAUAGACACAAUGAACCAUCUUUCUUUUUCACAAAUAAAACCAGUGCUCCCUAAGGUGAUGCACUAGGGCGUAUGAAUCCCUUAUCUAACAACUCCUACAUCUGCACCUUCAGUUCAACUCUAAGAACGUCAUCCAGUAAGAAGCCUUAAAGAUUGGCUUUGUCCUAGGGAUCACGAACUCUAUCUCCCUUUCUAAAGACAGACCUGGUAAUUCCUUCGGAAACACAUUUGGAAACUCCUAAACCACUGCGAUAUCUUCAAUCUUUAAUCUUCAACUCCUUAACUGUCAUAUCCACGAUAGUCACCAAGUAACCUUAACAACCCCAAUCUAACAAACAGGUUGUCUCAAGCGACGAGAUUAAAGUAAUCGAGGGUCCUCCUCAACUCUCAAUAAACUCGAAUUUCACCCGCUAACAGGUUAAACUGAAUUACUUUACGAUAGCAGUCCAUCUUAACUUGUUGCUUGGUGAGCUAGUCCAUGCAAAUUAUCACAUGAAAAUCAUACAUGGUUAGGACUAUCAAAUCUAUCCUCCCUUCUCGCUCACCAAUCACUAACUUGCAACCAAGACAGCCUACUGCAGCUAACACUUUAUCCUUUAAUGGUGUAGAUAUACUAACCAUUGACUCCAACAUUUCAAGACUCAAUCCUGCUAGCUUAACAAAUUGCUCAGCAAUACACAAAUGAGUUGUGCUAAGGUCAAAUAAAGCAUAAGCAGCAUGAUCAUUUAGCGAGAUUGUACUUGUGAUCACAUCAGGUGAGUCCUCUGCCUGUCCUCUGGUAACGGCGUACACCUUGCCCUAAGCUGAAGGUUUGUUCUGUCUACCCUGCUGUGCAUUCUACAACACAAAACCUCUAUUCUGACCCAUCAGCGGUAGUGGCGGCAACUGCUGCGAUCCCAUCGGUUUGCAGGGAUAAUCUCUAACUCGGUGGCCCUGUUGUCCACACCCAUAGCAAGCACCCAUCCUAGAAUGGCACAGAGCCUAUCCAUGUCGCUUCCACAGAAGCGACAUACUCCACUAAGGCUUAACGCUGACUUACUUAUCCCACCUUUCCUAUUAGGUGGAAUAGAGUACCUUCCUCCGGUCAUGGGCUUCUUCCCAAACCAGUUUCCAUCUCUGUUCGAAUUGAAUCUCGACCCAGAAGUGGUUACUUGCUCAAUCAGGUUCAUCUCUAUUAAUUGGGCCCGACCAUAUAGCUCGUUGUAAUCUUUUAGGUUGAAUGGCACCAGCGGUUUCUUCAACUCCAGCCGGAGGCAUUCCUGAACCUCUUAACUCUAUCAAUUGGAUCCUCUAUCAGCCGUGGGGCGUACUGCGAUAGCUCUACAAACUUGGCCUCGUAUUGGUCCACAGUCAUUGAACCCUGAUGAAGGCACUGAAAUUCCUCCAUCUUUUGUUCCCUUGCACUAUCGCAGAAGUACUUGCCAUUGAACACUGCAACGAAGGCGUUCCACUCCAAAACCACACCUUCUGGGAACACUACUCCUCCGGUGGCCAUCCACUAAGUGCUUGCGUUACCUUGAUGCUGAUAGACUGCAAGGACGACCUUCUCUUCCCUUGUGCACCUCAAUAGUGCAAAGGGCUUUUCCAAGUCCUAAAUCUAGAGGGCUGCAGCCUUGGGAUCUUUUACACUUGUGAACCUCGGCAAGUUCAGCUUUAGGAACUGCUCUAUGAGCUUAUGCAUUGCCCUCUCAACAACCACAUUCCUAAGUUGAACUUUGGCAAGUGCCGUAGCAACGGCAUCAGCGGCGGUGGCAACAACAGCAUUAGCGACGGUAAUAGUGAUGGUGGUAAUGGCGAUGGCUUGGUUCUGGGCCUGCUGCCCCAUCAAAGUUCCAAGCGUCUCAAGCGCUUGAAUGAUCCCAUCAAUUCUAGGAUCACCAAAUGCUGCUACCCCAGAACCGAUCGGCGGUGGCGCUAAACCAUUUGCGUUGGUCUGAGCCUGUGCUCUACCUCUACUACCACGGGUAUCGACCUUAGUUAGCAUCCUACCCCGAGUCACAACUCCUAUAGUCCUCUUUCUAGGCGUCCUCAGCUCUUGAUCACUCAUUAUGUAGACUUUCUACAUAACAUGUUCCCAAUUUCAUACAGAAUUAGAAACUGAGUGAUCCUUACAAAACAAUCUACCAAACAGCUAUUAAUCACAUGCAUCAAUAUAAAAUAAAGGUCGUUCCUACUAAUUAUCCCAUAACCCAUCGCACCUUAUCACUCUAACCGCUGACCAACUCUAAUAUCACUUCGAACGAGGAUGUCACGCCCCGAACCUCUAGCGCGCGCGCAUCCCUUAGUGGUCGAUAAAAUUGUGAUAUCCUAGGAUGUGUCGUGACCCAUUCAUUUUAAGGCACAUGCGGAAGCAAAAUAAAAACCCCUGACAACAAACAGCAUGGGAUAGAAAAGUAGGACAACAAAUUCACAAACAAAACACACUUUUAUAAACAAACUAGUUUGUUGACAAAAAGAUCGGCUCUAAAAAAGAAGUUGUCCAAUGACCCACUAGUCGAACAUAUUCGCCGAUCCUUUGAACUCCACUUCGACAGGCUCCAGGGUCUUUGGGUCCUCUCAAGAGGGUCAGCUGCACCCUCGCUCAGAGCGGCGUUGACCGCAAUGGCAAGGAUAUCAAAAUCCUGAAGGAGACCAUCCAUAUAUCCAUUGAUCCCAUGGCGAAACCACGCCCUAAAUUGAUGAGGUACUCUCUGAGGUAGGCCCUCAUCAACUUAGAUAGUGGUCACUACAAGCUUAUAGACCCAGUGACUCCUGGGGGCAGGGACGUCUAUGCUCCACUCAGUAACCCCCCAAGGCUGACUAAAACAAAUUAGAGGUACCGCCAUCUAAGGACCUGAAAAGGUUAAGCCCACAACGGGGUGAGACAAUGUCUCACCAAGUUUACUCCAUAUACCCCGCUUUAGGAAAAAAAUACGCCUAGAGGUAAUCUAACCACACAUCACAUAAUAUUUACCUCACCUCAAUUCCUUCCUAUACAUCAACACAGUUCAUAUCGCAUAUAAUUGCAUUAAAAGCACUCAUCAAUUGGGACGUCUCAACUUAUAACCAAACAAUUACAAGGGGUCUCGAUUAUAAGGCCAAAUCGUUAUGACACGUCACAUUCCAUGCCACACAAUUUUGUUCCAUAAUCAUGUGCGUCAAUUCAAUCAAUCGUGCAUCCCAAUUGAUUAUGACCUAACAGCCACGGCCGACUCAAUAGUCAGUGGUCUUCCGGCGUAGCUGGGUAUCAUCUCGCACCAUCGAGCACGGCAACAUCUAUUCCUAAAUGGCAUUCCACUAGGGGGCAUUGGUCUAGCCUCCACUGCGACCGGCAUCGGUUGACUCGGGGUAUCCCAUAUAGGAGCAUCAUCCGACUUAACAACUCGUGAUGAAUUCUCAUAGCCAUCACAACCCGGCCAAGGACACCGUGCAUUGCACUCAAAUGUCUCAAUUAAAAUAGUGAACUUGGCCUAUUUUCUUCACAUUAAAAACACUCAGUGAAAAUAAUCGUGUGUGGGUACACGGUUAGAUCGAAUCAAAAAAAUUGAUAUCCUUCCUUUUAAAAUCUCACUAUUUAAUAUAGUAUUUAUAUUCAUUUUCGGUGUCAAAACUCGACACACGGUAUUUUCUAAUUAAAUACCAAAAUUUCACAAUUUUGAAAUAAUAACUCAAAAUCACAAUCAUCACUUAAUUUGCACAAAUUAAUAUUCAAUUGCAUAAACUAAGCACACUACUGCAAUCAACACGAAAUUCCGGUCACCGGUUAUCCCAGUAUAAUUUCGGGAAAAUAUUAAAUAAUUAAAUAAAUAGCAAAAAUAAUUAAAUAAAUGAAAUUUAAUCCAAUAAAUACAAACCUAGGCCAGAAACACUAAUUUAACCACCUAAAUGGGCCUAAAAAAGUAAUGCACCUAUCCACAUAAAUAGUACAAUUUAUUUGGCCCUUAAUCAAUCUAUUAUAACCACCUAACAAUCAUGAUUAAGCAAUUAAAUCACUAAUGCAAACUAACUAACCAUAUAAACCAUACUUAACCUUAUCUAAUUACCUACUAAACAUCAUUAAACUCCUUAUGUAGAGCUUAGCAAGUAAACUCAUCGGAUUAGCAAAGCGAUGAGUCAACCGCGACGUCGAUGCGAAGGGAGGCAGAACACAAGCCUGCGGCGACACCAAAUGAGGCCCGAAAGAUACCUAAAAUGGGCCUUCAAUUCGGUCCAAGGACCAAAGGGGCUGGGUUGAGCGACGGCUUAGCUGGAAACAACCACACGGGCAACGGACGGUAGUGGCGGGACAAGGCGGUGGCUUUGACAGCUUCGACGGUGCCCAGGGCAAGCUCGGGGACCUGCGAGCAGACACGAGACAGCGGCUUGGGCUUGCGGGGGACGGUGAGCAAGCGCGGGAUGAGUGGGACGCGAGCGGGAGGCUAGUGAUGACUCAAGUGGAUGACUGCUGCUUGAACGGGCGGUACGGGCGGUCGACAACAUGAGGGGUUGGUUUCUUUGGUUUUCUUGAGCUCACAACACUUCAACAAUGGAGAAAAAUGGUAGCAAGGAGGAGGAAGAGAGAGGUCAGCAGAAGGGGGGCUCAAAAUGCCUCUAAAGUCUCCUCAAAAUAUCCAAACACUCAUCACCAAUGCCCUACCAUGCUCAGCCAUUAUCCACACCAAAACUUGUCCAAGAAGUCUCCCAAGGUGGCUGAAAUGUUUUUUUUUUUUCUGGUAAGGUCAAGGUGGCUAAAAUGUUGCUCUCCCCUUGGCCUACCAAUUUUGUAACAUUUCCCCUCAAAUUUCAUUCAAUUCCUCUCCAAAAUAACCCAAUUGAUGCCCCCAAAAAAUUCAGCCAAGGUGUCCACACUUAAUUCCACAUUUUUCCUUGCCAAAUAAUCCAACUUAACGGCCAAAUGUGCAACCAAAAACGGCCCUCAAAUUUUCCCGAUCCAAAAUAACCUUGCUUUGAAUUUUUUUCAAAACUCGGGUUUGUAGAAAAUUUUCGGAGGAUAAGUCGACGUUCCUAAAAUAAAUUGGACAUGAUAGAACUUUAAAUUUCUGAAAUCGGGUUCAAUUUCGCGGUUAAUUUCAACUGAACACAAUUUUUGCGUGACCUAAUCUACCGGAUAGCUUUUAGGAAUUUUUAACACAUUUGACCCAUGGUCGAUUAUUUUCGAGCCACAUUGUACCUCUUCGACACAUUGACGAUUCUCGGUUGUCGUGAAAAUCUUGAGGUUUCAAAUACGGACAUAGGAUACAUAAAUGACAGAAAAAUUGAUCUAGUGCCGUUCAACAAGAAUUUUGCAAUUAAGUGGAAUCACCCACUCUUUAAUCACAUGCCUCUGUUAAGUUAACAUAUCUCCGAUCUCUAAUCGAUUUUAAUAGUGCCGUAUUGACCCUUGCAAAUUAACACGGUCGAGCAGUUGAUUUUUGGUCGAAUUGUCAAAUCUAUUGCGUUUAGAUUCAUUAACGGCUUUACCCGAUAGAUUAGUUAUCUCGUGAGUAAUCAACUCAAAAAAAAAAAAAACUAUAGGCGCGUCGAUGAAAAGCCCAACUCAUUCAAUCGAAAAUAGAAUCAGAAAAUUAAGAUGUCACAUGACCCCCUCAAUCCAUCGUACAAGAGCGCGAUCCGAGAAAAAUGAUUAGGGUCAUAUUCUAUCCUUUCUACAAUGCCCAUAGGACUUAUUUGCUGUAAGUGCUAGCAAGACAUGUACGGGUGUAAUCUUUGUCAGUGGAUUGAAAGUUUCAUCAUAGUCCAAAACCAUAUCGCUGUGAGAACCCAAUUUGGAAUGCACAGAGAUCUAAACAAUUUGGAAUUCCAGCAAAUCACAAACUUCAACAAACAUGUAAUCUAGCCAUUUCAUGCAUCUACACAUCAAUUUCCAGUACUUUCAAGCCAUAUUCAACCUUGUUCAUCAUCAUUCAACAAAUUUCCAGCAAGAUUGAACCUUACUCAUCCAUGAUCCAUCAUCACUAUCCUAAACAUUCAUUUAAGCAUGCUUUGAUCACAAUCAAGUUCAAUCCUGAACAUGAUUGUCUAACAUUCAUCGCUUGAAUCAACUGUGGUCAUCGAAGAUUGAACAGCAAAAUAGGGAAAAUGAGAUUUGACGGAAGCUACCUAUGAAGCUCCUGCAUCACACUCUUACUAAAAUCAACGAAAUCAAUCAAUCAAAGCUUGUUCUAAAAAAUCGUAUGGCUCAUCAUCAUGUUACACAAUAUAAACAAAUUGACAAAGCAACGUCGAAAUUGACAUCAAAUAAGUUAUUGACAUGCUUAGCCAAAGAGGGGUUGAUUUUUCCUACGCAUGCAAUCUAUUGAAAAUUUAAUGAAAUUGAACUAAUUCUAGAACUAGUUUUCUAUUUGAUUUUUGAAAUGUCCUCACAUCCUAGCUCGGCAAUGAUCAUGAAUUGACAUGAUCAACCUCGAGCGUCAUUGGAUGAUCCUUGGAGCAAACAACAAAAAAUUAGGAGGUCCUAACUUGUGAAUGAAGGUAGGCUAGUAAUCAAGGAAAGUUAGCUUGAUCGGUGGGCUUGCAACAAGGAAUCAAGGUGGUGUCGACCACCAUGACGCUAUGGAAGAGCCAAGGGAGACCAUCACACAAGGACGUUAAGGCUAGAUGAUUAGAGUGAGGCUGACGACCAGUGAGAACAAGAGUGUCGCAACUUAAAUUUUGGAUGCACCACCUAAGUUUAGGCUAAUGAACUACUAAGUCUUUAAACUUAGCUCGGGCUCUCCCAAGACCAUACCAAUUCACGACUUAGGUUCAAAUAUUUAGCAUGAAAAAGAUUAUUAGCCAAGAGUCGCCACUAAUCAGUUUGCAGUAGGUCAAUUAGACACUUAAGUAAAAUAAUGGAAGAAUUAUUUUUACUCCUAUGAACUAGAGACUUUAGGUAUGGGGACUUGGUUACACUAGAUUUUCUAAUGCCAUUUCGGUAUCAUUUCUUUUUAUUUCAAAAAAAAGUUUUUGCAGGCAGUUUGGAUUGAUUUUAAAUCUAUUUCCCUAACAUAUGAGGUGAUCAUACGGGUGCGCAAACCACCAAUUUAACACCCAAGAAAACAAUGAAUAAAUUACGGAACUUACCUCGUAGCAACGGAAUCUUCUGCAUUGUUAGAUCAGAAUUCACAUCAACAACUUUAGAUAUGAUUUCUAAUUAACACGCAAUUUCUUUUUGUUUUUAUAUAAUUAAUGAGAAUAUGCUUUAUGCAAUGCAAUAUAACUAAAUGACCUAAUUCUAAUGACAGGCAAUUGUUAAUUAAAUGGACCUAGCAACAAUCACUAAAUGACAUAUAUUUCAUGAAUCUAAUUUUAUAUGACAUGCAUAUGACAUUUUUAUUUUUAUUUUCUUAAAAAAAAAAAGAAUGCAAUCUAUUCUAGAGAUUGAAACUAAUUUAUCCUAAGACAUUUUUUUUGUAUAUUUUUUUCAUGAAAUUCGAAAUUAGGAAAAAUGUGAAAAUUGUCUAACUAAAUUAAGAUUCUAUUCAAUUUGUAUUAAGGAUUAGAUCAAACUAAAUCCUAAUUUAAACCAAAAUAUUAUCUUAACUUAGCAAUCUCUAACCUAAGAUGCAAUCUAUCUAAAUCAAUCUAAACUUAAAAUGAAUUUUAUCCUAAUGUGGAAUGACAUGCAAAUGAUGCCCUAAUUCUACAUGACGUAUGCAUGAUGAUUUUUUUUAUUUAAUUUUUUUUAUUAAUCUCGUAUUAAAAAAAUGUCAAAUAAUUAAACAUGCAAUUUAAGCUAAUGAAACAAAAAUCUAACAUCCUAGAUUUAUUUUUUUAUUUCGAAAAUUCAUGAUAAAUAAAAUGCUUAGUCUAAAUAUGGAAAUAACCCUAAAGCAUGCAAUAUUCUAACUCAAACAUAUUUCAAGAUAAAUAAAGCAAUCAAGACAAGAUAGACCAUUCAAAAUCAUCAAAGAUAUCACACACCAUUUAGAUUAAGGGAUGAUAUUUCGCUAGUAAAAUCGAUAAAUUGAUCUUAAGCUUUAAAGAUCAAAAUAUCAAUUUUAUUGUCGCUUGAUUAAUUAUUUCAUCUAAAGCCUUAUAGAUGAAAUAAAAAACCCAGGCACCAUUAUGAAUUAGGCAAUAAAUCUUAAUUGGGAGAUAUGCCUAUCAUUCAAAUAUGCUUAAUGGAUAUCAGAUAGACAAAUUAGGGGAUAAAAUAUUCAUGGAACCGAGUAAGGAGUAUUACCUAAUUGUGACAAUAACUUUCCAAAUUCGAGCGUCGGGCAAUGGAUCACAAACGGUGACCGAUGGUGGUUUGCAAUGCUCGAUGGUAUGAGCAAAGGCUUGCAGCGAGCGACACGGUGGGGCGAGUGACUGGCAGCAACGAGGAUGCCUAAGAUGGAUCACAGUGGACCGCUCAUCUAAAGUUGAAGACGUCGAGGUGACUCCGCAGAGAGGAAGCUUUGACAAUUUUUUUCUUUUGUAUUUUCACUUCUGGACAAUACCUGCAGAAGACCAAUUCACCACUUAAACUUAUUUCAUCAAAAUUCUAGCAACUCUUUUGACUAUGGACUCCAGGCUUGCAAGUGGUGGCCACAGUAUAUGACGUGGUAUUCAUGCUGGUCAGGAGAUGUUGGCCUCUUUGGACUUCAACGAAACCUACAAAUAAUGAAUACGAACGAAGCGCUAAAGCUGGUUGGUGAUUGUCGGUGAGUCAGAAGAAAACACUUCAGGGCAUCGCCAGGCUAGAUGGAACUUGCGGGAGUCCUCGCUGACUCCGAACUAGGCUGUAGUGGUUCAAGCGUCCCUGGGAUGUGCUGGUUCGUGGUAUUGCAAAAACAGCAGAUCAUGGAUCGUUGGGGAUGCGAGGACUGCACGAGUGAUUGCUGCAAGGAGAAAUUACGGUCCCGCUAGGGCAACGGCGAAUCAAGCAAUAGUUGAGCGCAAGGAAGGCGGUAGCUCCAUCAACGUCUCGGUUGAGCUGGGCUCGUCAAGGCUUGGUCAUGACGGUAGGGGGUUGGCACCAGAUCAGCAGCUCGUCGGAAAGGCAAAUAGGUCACAGCAGUGAGUCCGUCGUCGUUGCAGGGGACAACGCAGCAAAGACGGUGUAGCAAUGGUAACUCAGGCGGCUCGGGUGUGACACUGCGGCAAAGGGCCUCGCACAACGUGGGGGCAGGCCCCAGUUCAGCAGAGAGAGUUCCUUCUCUUUUCUCUCACGUGUAAAUCUCUCAACGUGCCUUUUAGCAUAGAAGUGCCGACCCCCCUCAACAAUGUUAGCGUUCUCCUUAUUUAUAGGACAACCAAGGCCUUCAAAGGAAAGGACACAAUAUAAUAUAUUUUAUUCCUUCCUUUCCUCAAAUGCGUGAGUACUCAUAACUUUGACCAUAUAUUCAUGAUUUUCGGCCACGAAUUCUUUCCUUUUCUGCUUACGCCCCUGGAUGCGUAGGACGCAUGAAAUUUUCUUUAUCGGUGCACUCUUUCUUGUUUUAAAACAAGAAAUAUAUGUCCCAAUCCUUAAUUUGGUAGAUUCUUGCGUAGAAAUAUCACACUUCUCUGCACCUAGUUGACCGAGAUUAUCUUCUAUUAAUAAAGAUAUUUAUUCUUCCUCAAAGAUUUUUCAUGCCUUGUUAAGAUCCCAUGUGAAAAUUGUGCUCAAUCUUUCCCAAAUUCGUGUUAAACUCGGUUAUAUUACGAAGCUUACUCCAAUCUUUCACUUUCGGCGGGCUUAACUUCAAUAAAGCUCAAAACCAUUUACCCGAGUUUAUCCGCCGCCAACGCAACCCAAUGCAAUUAUGUUCAGAACUUAAGCCCAUCCGCUACCAGUCCAUAAAUAUGCAAGUAUAUUGAGAUAUGCUCCUAAUAACUAUAUGUAAUGCGAUUUAUUAUUUUUGUUUAGGGGCUAAAGUUUAGUCCCUAAUUUUUGUGCAAUAAAUGAAUGAUAGGGUCGUCAAAAUUUAGGUAUCAAUAAAGAGGUAAAGCCUUCCAUGAGUUGCCCGGGGAGGGGAGGGAGAGAAUUUAAGCUUGCACCUCAUUGGCUAAAUUUAAGUCACUAUGAUAGGUGACAUGUCAUUAUGCAUGGCCUAGAUCAAUUAGUGAAAGAAUGGCUAGGAUUUAAGCUCAUGUAGAUUGAUGACUUGGCUUUAGGAGCAUUUCGGUAAUUCUAGGCAAAGGGGAGGGAGAGGAUCGGCCGGCCAUGGUGGCUUGGUAGCGUGACUUAAUGGACUGACCUGUCGGAUGAGUUUUGUAAAUUUUGGUCCGAUUGUAUACAAUUGAAUGCAAAUUGGAGCGAUUUAGCUUGAACGGGUUGAUUUUGAUACUCUAGUUAUCCAAUUUCACCCUCAAUUUCACAAUUUGACUUGACAUUUUUGUCAAUUUGAUUGAAUGAAAUUAGGUUCAAAUUGGUAAAAUUGAUUUGGCCCGGUAUAAAUUAUAAUUGACUUAUGGUGGGCGAAAUGCCUUAAAGAUACCCUAAUUGCAUUAAUCUCUUUGAAAUUUGACAUGGCCAUAGCCAAUUCUGUCCCAAUUGAUUUAAUUCAGCCAAAUUGAGGCUUGGUUCAAUUGACAUAUCUCUUGUGCUUAAUUUCCAAAAUGAAUUUGAAAUUUCAAUUACCCAUAGUCCGGAGAUCAACUGUCACUAAGGACUCAAGUUUAAAAAAUCAAUAGAAAUGAAUGAAUUUUGGAAUUUUUUAUUAAAAGCCCGAGUAUUCAAUUUUGUUGAAAAUGUUGACUCCUAAUCAUUUUUCAAAAAAAUUGGUAUUUGAAAUUGAAACUAUCUAAGAGAACAAAGCCAUUAUGAAGGUUUUAUAUAUAUAUAUUUUUGUGGAGUUGACCAAAAGUUGACCUAUCAAUGAUUUAAGCCUUAAAUCAAUUGAGUCACACUUUGACUUUUUUUUUUCUUUUAAUUUUGAAAAUUGAAAGUAAAAAAGUGAAAUUAACUAAUCUAUGUCUUUUAAUGCAAAAUGCUAAAUUUAGACCAACGGUGAUUUUUUGAUAAAACUUUGACAAAAGAGUUAAUUCUAAGUCAACCUUUGACUUUUUGAAAUCAAAGUGUACAUGACAUGAAGACAAAUUGCUUAUACAAGAAAGAAUGUUAAACGACUAUGUUUUGUUAAGAACUAGGUUCUGUCAUGAUCAGGAAUCUAAAUCUCAAGUUUUUACCUUUAAAUGAUUGAUUGGCUAAAAAAUGACAUAUAUAUAAUUUUCAUCUUAAAGUAGAGAACGGACCUUUUCUACUAUUGCUAAUGGUGUAUAUAUAAUUUGCAUCAUAACUGCACAUAGACUUUAGGAUUAAACAUAUAGACCUCUCAUAGAAAAAAAGGAACCAAUCUUGGCACUAGGGUGGACUAAUGUAAUCAUAUCGCCAUACUUUGAAUAUAUAGUUUGUACCGACCAAUGGCUUAAGUCUAGGCUCAAGAUGUUUCUACCACAUUAGCACUAGAUCUUAAUAAGUACCUAAACGACCUUAGAAUGGGCUAGUGGUGACUUCUAUAUAGAUGUGCAUUAUGAAAUCACAAGUUGUAAUAGACGUUAUAUUGGGAGAAUGUGAAUGAGGCACGCACCUUCUUUAUACGUAGGGGAGAAGUAAUAUCAUGUUGCACAUUGACCUUCUCGAACCGUACUAAUAGGCCAUUUUGAGAGAGACAUUGACUUUGUGAGACAUGAUUAUAUUAAGCAACCUAUUGGAUUUAUAUUGGUACUAUUAAGAAAAUUAUGGCAAUCAAGUUGUGAUUGACAUGGGUUUCGAUAGUGGAAGUUUGGCAUGUACAAGAUUAGAAUUGACAGUUUGUAAACAAUGCCCACUCGGAGAAAGAGAAGUAGAGGCAAUUACACAAUCUUGAGACGUGGGUAUCACAAUCUAAUAUGUGGCACAUGUGGUUGGCAUAAACAUCGCAAAAGUGUUCAGCAUGGUGCGGUUAAAAGUUCAAGAAAAUUGUGAAAACCUUCUAUUUUUAGGUGAAAUGUCGCUUUUAAAAUAUAAAAGUGAUGGCGAUAGCGGUCGGACAUGUGCCGGAAGUGGAUUGGCAUAGUGGAGAGGCGGCUGGCAUUAUGCCAAACCUAAGCUGGUACUAUAGUCCAUGGAAACGGCCAAAUCGCGUGGCACCCAUCCAAAACUUGAGGUCGACCGCCAGCCUUGGGAAACGAGUCCUAGGAUGUGAGGGAGACAGCCGAGGCUCAUAAUUAUAGAAAGAACGUCUUAGGAGAGAAGAAGGGCACACACUCGACCAAAUCAUAAGAUUUUAAUUAUUUCGCUAUUUCAUUCUUUUAUUUACUAAACUUUCGCAAGAUCUUCUCAUGUCAAAAAUAAAGAAUACAAGUUAUAACAUUUUUUAUCCAUAAAAAAGAAACAGAAUAUUUUUGUCUUAAACGAUUUGCAAAUUAUAUGAUUAUUAUUGGAAAAAAUAAAAAGGUCGUCAGCCUAUGAUCACUGACUCUAUCCACAGGAAUGAAAAUAAAAAAGGUAACUGGAAUAAUGAAGUGAAAGAACAAUAUUAUUUUAUGGGAUAGUUGUACAGAAAAUUUUAAAACUUAUUGUAAAUGUACAAAUACAUUUUAAAAUUUAUCAUGAAAGUACAAUUGAAUUCUAAAUUUUUUUUUUAAAAAAAUACUAUCAAAUCAUAAAAUUUAUCAUAUUAGUCAUAAAAUUUAUCAUAUUAGUCUAAUCAAAUCCGUCCAUUGACACUUAAUUAUAUUUUUAUGAUAAAUUUUAGGAUUUGAUUAUACUUUUCUAAAAAGUUUUAGAAUUUCGUGUGCACUUAUUUUAAUUAGAAGGAAUUCUCUCCCUUUUCUUUUUAGACUCUUCUUUCAUCUUCAAGAAAAGAAGAGACGUACAGAAGAACACACUACACACAUAGAUGCCAUUUAUGUAAUGCACAGCCGCUUUGCACCCUUUUCUACUCCCACGGAAGUUGAAGAGGCUUCUCGCCUUCUAGUUCUGAUAAAUCAUGAAAGAGCAUUGAAUUUGCGUAUGAAACGGAGAUAUUUAGCUAUUCAACUUUUCAUAACAUGUUUACCUAUAUGGGGGCAAUGAUUUUACCAAUGUUCAUCCGAAUUCAAUCAUGACAACUUUUAGAGUUGGUGUAAUUGGUUGGAGUGUCAGGGAUUUUGGUUCAACAACCAGAGGUCAUUUGUUCAAAUUUCACGAAUUGCAUACAAAUAAUAAUUUGAGUGUCUAGGCAACUUACAAGGCUUCAAGGCCUGGACUUAAUUGAUUAAUAGGCUCGCCGUGUAUUUUAUGGAUGUCAAAGUAGACAUGCCUCCAUGCUUGUGUCCUUGGCUUAUCAAAGUCAUUCUCAUACAACCCGAAUCUGCACCAGCCACUACAAGUAAUUGCGUACUCCUCGUCUGAGGACUUUUUGUUGUGAAUAUAGACAAGCGAAUCAAAUAAAAUAAUUAGAAGGAAGGAAAGAAAAUUGGAUACUAAAUUUAUGUGAUUUGAUAAUAUUAGAAUUUAUGUUCAUGGAAAGAGCAACACAGAAUUUUAUUAUAGAAACAACAAUAUACUUGAGAUUAUAAUAACUCGAAUACUAAAAUACUCACUUAGUAUUUUUUAAUCCUCAAUUACACUCAAAUUCAUAUAGUAUGUAGCCCUUUUAUAAUUUCUAAUGAAACCUUAUUUUAGGAAUUAAAUAAAUUUUACUCAUAAAAAUUUAACUAGUUAAAUCACUUUUGGAUGUAAUUGCAACGGGAGAUUUCUCCCUCUGUCAAGAGCUCCCACAGCUUGCUUCCGGAAAGCUCUAAGAGCUCCAUCCAUCCAUGUCCGGUAUUGUUGCGACUUUCUUAUUCUUUCUUUUCAAGAGCUCUGCAUUAAAUGCAGCACGUGAGGCUCCACUUGUUCUUUCCUUUCGUCGGCCACAAUAGAAGAAAAUAGCGAAGGAAAGAAACAAAAGAAGUUUAUCAAAGAGUAGGGGUGUGCAACAGGAUGGGUAUACGCGGGAACCGGACCAGCCCACCUGAAAAAUAGGGUUGGGAACUGAUUUUCGUUAAAACCAGUUUGAAAAUUGGUUCCCAAAAUUCAAAACCGGUUUAAGAACCAAUUUCGAGUGAUUACCCGCUCAGGAACCAGUUCCCGAGCCGGUUUUGAAAUCGGUUUUGUAAGUAGAGGUCUAAAACUUUAUUUUUUCCCUAAUUUUCAUUCUUACUCCUAUAAUCACACAUCAUUUUUCCUCUUGGCUCUCUCAGACACAUACGGCACUCCUUCUUCAUCGUUCCUCUUCCUCACUUGCUUCCCUUCCUUACCGGCUCCCUCUCGCACCGUAUGACGGACAUACGGCGUUCCUUGCCGCCAAAUUCUUGUGUAUUACAUGGAUUGGCUCGCCUAACUGCUCUUUUGUAAGAGGAAUUAUGCUUGCAUAAAUGAACAACUUCAUGUAGUAAUUGUGGGAAUAAGAUUAAUACUAGACUCGUGUUUGUUGCUAGUGUUUAUGCAAUGUUAUGAUUUUUGCUUUGUCUUAUAAUUUUAUUUAUGAUAAUUAGUCUCGUGGAUCAUUAAUUUUUUCGUUUAGUUAAAUUACAAAUGCUUAAUGUUUUAAUACAAAUUAGGAGGAUUACGUUAUUUUAUUAGGUAUUAAUGUAAAAUUUGAAGUCAUAUAGAUAUUGAGAGGUUGCAAAACAGGUUUAAGUGAAAACAGGGUUGAUCCAGGAAUCGAAUCGGAAAAACAUAAUGGGUCGGGUAUAGGAUCCAAUACAAAUAUGGUCGGGUAUAGGAUUUAAAAAAGAGAAACCGAUUAUAUUAGGAUCGGGUAUAAGGUCCAGAUCUAGACCCUACCCACUCUAGACCCAAUCAUUCCUAUGAAAAAGGACAAAUAAAGCCCAAAAUUUUUUACUUUGANNNNNNNNNNNNNNNNNNNNNNNNNNNNNNNNNNNNNNNNNNNNNNNNNNNNNNNNNNNNNNNNNNNNNNNNNNNNNNNNNNNNNNNNNNNNNNNNNNNNNNNNNNNNNNNNNNNNNNNNNNNNNNNNNNNNNNNNNNNNNNNNNNNNNNNNNNNNNNNNNNNNNNNNNNNNNNNNNNNNNNNNNNNNNNNNNNNNNNNNNNNNNNNNNNNNNNNNNNNNNNNNNNNNNNNNNNNNNNNNNNNNNNNNNNNNNNNNNNNNNNNNNNNNNNNNNNNNNNNNNNNNNNUAUCAUAAAUAUAAAUAUAUAAAAGUAUCACGUCAGCCGGCCGGCGUCCCAGUCAACAAAAUCCGGCCAAAAUUGGCCGGAAAGGACUGAAUUGGCACAACGUAAAAAGGUUUAGGACUUAAUUGGUACCAAAAAAUGUUUAGAACUAAAUUGACACAUAUACAAAAGGUUUAUGACUUUUUUGGCACUUUUCUCCUGCUCUUUCUUUAUUAUGCCCACAACACAAGAGCCUUAGAUGCACAUACAAAUGACCUCUAGUUAUAUUGGUUUCCUUUGCUCAUACAAAAAGAAAAAGUCGUUCUAAACGCUGGAGUUUAAUCUUAACCCAAAGCGUGAAAAUAUGAAACUUAAAAGGUCUAUUGGUGCCCAGAAAAUUUGAAUAUAUGUUAAAUUUUGUGAUAUUACUGUUGAUUAUUCUAAAAAUUUAAGUUAUUAAAUGAGUAUGUGAUUUAUUAUCUAAAUAUUUUGAAGGGAUUAAUGUCCAUCGGACCACAUUUUCCGCUCAUUUCCAUCCAGCAGUUUCUGAUUUGGUGGUUUUCUCGAGAUUUUUUCACCAAGUCGCGAUCCCAAAGUCCACACAAGUCAAUGUCUGGACCCCAUGCCUAGCAACGAAGGCUGUUGGACAGCUCCAAAUGCGGCCUCCAUGCACUGAAACAUCAGGACCGGACCCGUGACCACAAGCGUCUGGUCAUCAUUUAACGUUGUCUGUUCUCGUAUCGAUUGCGACUUCGUGAAAUUUCCAAGAAACGGGGAAUCGUGACUCUCGUUUCCGAGAUAUUUUUACGCGGUUUUAUUACCCGUGUAAAGAGAGGCAAGGGUUGGAGCGCUCUAUAAAACCACUGGAGAACUCGUGCAAUACCAUAUUCACCAUCCUCGUUUCUACACAUAUCUCGAGAGGCAAUCCAAGCAUGAAGGUGGAAAUACAGUGGAAGAAGCUGGUCAAGCCAUCAGUGCCCACACCGAGCGACCAGCGAAAAUGGAAGCUAACAUCAAUAGAUGAGCUUCAGAUGCCAAAUUAUGUGGGCGUUAUCUUCUACUAUAGAGAUAAUGCCGGGAACCCCGGAGUUGAUAUCUCUCAAAGGCUUCACCAGAUGGAGGAGUCACUUUCCUAAACUCUAACCCUCUUUUAUCCUAUGGCAGGGAGAUAUAUUGAGGAUGACGACGGUUGUUUUAUCGACUGUAAUGACCUUGGAGUGGAGUUCGUCCAUGCCAAAGUGGAUGGCCAGAUUGAUCAGCUUCUCCAUAGAGACCCCGACAUGGAUUUGCUCGAAUAUUUGUCGCAAUUCCCGAACAACCUAGUAGGCAAUCCACUAGUGGUGAUUCAAGUGAAUACGU
rnacentral:lncRNA from 1 species